rnacentral:lncRNA from 1 species
UGAUGUGUUACUCCAGGAUCGACAGGUCAGGGCGAACGGCAGCCACCUCGCCAACGUCUGCCGGAGAGGCCAUGAUAAACCUCUUCUUGGCCAAACGCUCGUCGGGCUCCCUGGCAUACAUGGUCGAGUUUAGGCUGCGACAUUCUGGAGCAGGGGAUGUGGAUCUGGCGGGAAGGGACACCGCAGGCCUCAUCUAAAAACUCAGGGGAGUGGGGCGACGGUAUGGGAAUCGCUGGGUAACCUGAACUUUAUUAUCUAAGCUAGGAGAAACAGGCAGACCGGCAGGGGUUGGCGGCGGCGCCGGCGGUGGCCGUGAGCUAGGGUUCGAGGGGGGAGGGGGCCGGGUGGGGAUUGUGGAGGGGGGUGUUUGAGGAUACGCUGCGACUACUGAAAUUUUUAGUAUUGGUGGGUGGAGAUGGUGGUGGACGAGGGAGGGCGACGGUUCAAAUGCCUCGGUUACUGCAAUUUUACUAUAAGGUCGGUGCUAGAGGAGUGUGUGGGCGACGGUUGAAGUACGGCGGCUACUAAAAUUUGGGUAAAGGAAUUGAUGCGGAGUGGGAGUGCCCAAGAUCGUGCACAGUCCAAUAACAAUAUGCGUGUAUGAUAAUAAGGAAAAGUGGCGGAACCGCCGAUUUUUGCAACGCUCAAGGCGGGUAGUUUGUUUUUAUAUUUCUAGCUAGCUGGUCUAUCGCACAUGGUUCGUACUAAUUUCAAAAUAAACUUACCCGCCUUUAGCUUGCACAGGUGGUGAUUUUACAGCGCACUUGCAUCGCAGACGGUUAAGCCAAUACCUCCACCCUUUGCUCGCGCUUGCGCGGUCGUGGUGAUUUUAUAGCGCACUUGCAUCGCACACGGUUGAGCUAGUACCUUCACCUUUGCUCGCGCUUGCGCAGGCGUGGUGAUUCACAACGCACUUGUAUCGCACACGGUUAAGAUAUUAUACCCGUGUCCGCUGAGCGUCAUCAGAGUCUUUGCAGCAAAAAAAUCGUUAGAGAGGGUCAGAAGACACCCACACUAGCAUGUAGCCCAAAUAUAUAUGAGUGAAAAGGAUGGUCUGUGAUGUUCAAAAUUCCAAUGCAUAAAUUUGACCGUGCGGGCCCAUGGGUGGGCGCGUCGUCGAAGAUCGAUGAGAGGGGCUAGAAGUCAAGAACCACCUGGAAGUGGCCAAAUAUAUGUAAGAAUAUUGGGGAUGUUUAAAACUUUAAAUACACAAUGCAUAACUUUGGUGGCACCUGCCUCGUAAACCCAAAAGCACCAUUGGAUAUAUAUAUAUAUAUAUAUAUAAUGACAUAAUGUCGUACCUAGUUAGGAUGCUUGGUCCACCACCUCCCACUUCGUGUCAGCGGGGCGAAUGGAGAUAAUGAUCGAUACUUUGGUCAUACAUGCAUGUCGCCAUGACCUAUCAUAAGCCGGACCAAUUAAUCUAUCGUUUGGUCAAACGACAGCUGUUGUUGUCGAUAAACCGCUUGGGCCAAUAGAUUGAACCAUCAUAAAAAUCCCACGAGAGGGACCACAAAACCAGCACCUCUUGCAUGCGGCCCAAAAUGAUGUACGUUGGGAAGGGGUGAUGUGUGUUUUCAAUAUAGAAUAAUGUACAAUUUACAUGUGGUGCCUACCCCUCGAUACAGACAACAACCAUGAAGGCAAGGUAGUUAAGGACGAGAUACACAGGGUAUGAUGUAGGUCGAACCCAGCAAUCCGAGCAUGUGGGAGGGAAUCCUGACAACGCAUGAGCUUGAGCUUUGGUUGAGCGACAUGUGACCGGCCCUAACACGAACUAGGAGAAAUCCAUUCAUGGCCAACACAUACCUCUCAUUAUUGGUCAAAGGGAUGAUAUAUAUACACUCGGGGAGCCCACAGAUAUGCGUGUUGUCACAAAAAACCGCACAAGGGAGACGUGGUCGAUCAGAAGACCCCGUAUACACUGCAUGCGGCACGAAAAUAUGUAUGGGUACGGUGGUGUGUGAUGUGUUUAAAUCCCGAAUGCACAACUUUGAUGGGCCACCAACUACAUUACAAACCGAACACCGUACCCGACUCCAAGCCUGGUUCAAUACGUACGAUNNNNNNNNNNNNNNNNNNNNNNNNNNNNNNNNNNNNNNNNNNNNNNNNNNNNNNNNNNNNNNNNNNNNNNNNNNNNNNNNNNNNNNNNNNNNNNNNNNNNNNNNNNNNNNNNNNNNNNNNNNNNNNNNNNNNNNNNNNNNNNNNNNNNNNNNNNNNNNNNNNNNNNNNNNNNNNNNNNNNNNNNNNNNNNNNNNNNNNNNNNNNNNNNNNNNNNNNNNNNNNNNNNNNNNNNNNNNNNNNNNNNNNNNNNNNNNNNNNNNNNNNNNNNNNNNNNNNNNNNNNGGGUUGUCCCAUGCAUGUGCUCAAACUUUAUUUGGUCCAGCAUGGGACACAUCUAUAUCUAUACCCCUAUAUAGUAUGCGAAUAACUUUGAAAGUUGGUCGUUGGAUGAAGCGAAUCUGAUGGUACAGAGAUGGCAAAUCCGAGCACUACUGGCCAUUGGAUAUCAUCUACAUUCCACCAGAUUCUGCCACAUGUAUAAUCUAGAAGACUCCAUGGUUGAGCUUAAGCAUUGAAGGAAAUAUGCCCUAGAGGCAAUAAUAAAGUAGUUAUUUAUAUUUCCUUAUAUCAUGAUAAAUGUUUAUUAUUCAUGCUAGAAUUGUAUGAACCGGAAACUUAGUACAUGUGUGAAUACAUAGACAAAAACAGAGUGUCCCUAGUAUGCCUCUACUUGACUAGCUCGUUAAUCAAAGAUGGUUAUGUUUCCUAACCAUAGACAUGUGUUGUCAUUUGAUGAACGGGAUCACAUCAUUAGCGAAUGAUGUGAUGGACAAGACCCAUCCGUUAGCUUAGCAUUAUGAUCGUUGAGUUUUAUUGCUAUUGCUUUCUUCAUGACUUAUAUAUGUUCCUUUGACUAUGAGAUUAUGCAACUCCCAAAUACCGGAGGAACACCUUGUGUGCUAUCAAACGUCACAAUGUAACUGGGUGAUUAUAAAGUUGCUCAACAGGUGUCUCCGAAGGUGUUUGUUGGAUUGGCAUAGAUCGAGAUUAGGAUUUGUUACUCCGUGUAUCGAAGAGGUAUCUCUGGGCCCUCUCGGUAAUGAUCAUCACUAUAAGCCUUGCAAGCAAUGUGAUUAAUGAGUUAGUUACAGGAUGAUGCAUUACGGAAUGAGUAAAGAGACUUGCCGGUAACGAGAUUAAACUAGGUAUGUUGAUACCGACGAUCGAAUCUCGGGCAAGUAACAUACCGAUGACAAAUGGAACAACGUAUGUUGAUAUGCGGUUUGACAGAUAAAGAUCUUCGUAGAAUAUGUAGGAACCAAUAUGAGCAUCCAGGUUCCACCAUUGGUUAUUGACCGGAGAUGUGUCUCGGUCAUGUCUACAUAGUUCUCGAACCCGUAGGGUCCGCACGCUUAACGUUUGAUGACGAUUUGUAUUAUGAGUUAUGUGAUUUGAUGACCGAAGUUUGUUCGGAGUCCCAGAUGAGAUCACGGACAUGACGAGGAGUCUCAAAAUGGUCGAGACGUAAAGAUCGAUAUAUUGGAAGGCUAUAUUCGGACAUCGGAAAGGUUCUGAGUUGUUCGGGUAUUUUUCGGAGUACCAGAGAGUUACGGGAAUUCGCCGGGGGAAGUAUUGGGCCUUCAUGGGCCUUAGUGGAAAGGAGAGAAGGUCCACAAGGGGAGGCCGCGUGCCCCCCCCCCCCAUGGGCUGGUCCGAAUUGGACUAGGGAGGGGGCGGCGCCCCCCUCUUUCCUUCUCCCUCUCCUACUCCUUCCCUCUCUCCCCUCUUGGAAAAGGAAGGGGACUCCAACUAGGAUUGGGAAUCCUAGUUGGAAUCCCCUAUAGGCGCGCCCUGUUGGGGAACGUAGUAUUUCAAAAAAAUUGCCUACAAUCACGCAAGAUCUAUCUAGGAGAAGCAUAGCAACGAGCGGGGAGAGUGUGUCUAUGUACCCUCGUAGACCGAAAGCGGAAGCAUUUAGUAACGCGGUUGAUGUAGUCGGACGUCUUCGCGAUCCAACCGAUCCAAGUACCGAACGCAUGGCACCUCCAUGAUCUGCACACGUUCAGCUCGGUGACGUCCCUCGAACUCUUGAUCCAGUUGAGGCCGAGGGAGAGUUUCGUCAGCACGACGGCGUGGUGACGGUGAUGAUGAAGUUACCGGCGCAGGGCUUCGCCUAAGCACUACGACGAUAUGACCAAGGUGUGUAACUGGGGGGGGCACCGCACACGGCUAAGACCAAUCUUCAACUUGUGUUCUAGGGUGCCCCCUUGCCCCCGUAUAUAAAGGAGCAAGGGGAGGGGGCCGACGGCCUCAUAGGGAGCGCCCAAGGGGGGAAUCCUACUCCUACUAGGAGUAGGUUCCCCCUUUCCUAGUCCAACUAGGAGGGGAAGGAAAGAGGAGGAGGGGAGAAGGAAAGAGGGGGCCGCCCCCCAAGCCCUAAGCCAAUUCGGUUUGGGCCUAGGGGGGCGCGCCCCACAGCUCCCUUGCUGCCCUCUAUUUCCAUUAAGGCCCAUUGACCCCCCGGGGGGUUCCGGUAACUCCCCGGUACUCCGGUAUUUAUCCGGUGAUCCCCGGAACCUUUCCGGUGUCCAAAUGUAACAUUCCAAUAUAUCAAUCUUUAUGUCUCGACCAUUUCAAGACUCCUCGUCAUGUCCAUGAUCUCAUCCGGGACUCUGAACAAUCUUCGGUACAUCAAAACACAUAAACUCAUAAUACCGAUCGUCAUCGAACGUUAAGCGUGCGGACCCUACGGGUUCGAGAACUAUGUAGACAUGACCGAGACUCAUCUCCGGUCAAUAACCAAUAGCAGAACCUGGAUGCUCAUAUUGGUUCCUACAUAUUCUAUGAAGAUCUUUAUCGGUCAAACCGCACAACAACAUACGUUGUUCCCUUUGUCAUCAGUAUGGUACUUGCCCGAGAUUCGAUCGCCGGUAUCUCAAUACAUCGUUCAAUCUCGUUACCGGCAAGUCUCUUUACUCGUCCCAUAAUGCAUCAUCCCGCAACUAACUCAUUAGUCACAUUGCUUGCAAGACUUAUAGUGAUGUGCAUUACCAAGAGGGCCCAGAGAUACCUCUCCGAUACACGGUGUGACAAAUCCUAAUCUCGAUCUAUGCCAGCCCAACAAACCCUUUGGAGACACCUGUAGAGCAUCUUUAUAAUCACCCAGUUACGUUGUGACGUUUGAUAGCACACAAAGUGUUCCUCCUGUAUUCGGGAGUUGCAUAAUCUCAUAGUUAAAGGAACAUGUAUAAGUCAUGAAGAAAGCAAUAGCAAGAAAACUAAACAAUCAUUAUGCCAAGCUAACGGAUGGGUCUUGUCCAUCACAUCAUUCUCUAAUGAUGUGAUCCUGUUCAUCAAAUGACAACACAUGUCUAUGGUCAGGAAACAUAACCAUCUUUGACAAACAUGCUAGUCAAGUAGAGGCAUACUAGGGACACUCUGUUUUUGUCUAUGUAUUCACACAUGUACUAAGUUUCCGGUUAAUACAAUUCUAGCCUGAAUAAUAAACAUUUAUCAUGAUAUAAGGGAAUAAAUAAUAAAUUUAUUAUUGCCUCUAGGGCAUAUUUCCUUCACGCCCCUCCUAGGCCGGCCUCCUCUUCCUCCUCCUUUAUAUACGUGGGCAGGGGGCACCCCAAAGACACACAAGUUGAUCUUUUAGCUGUGUGCGGUGCCCCCUCCACAGAAACACACCUCGGUCAUAUCGUCGUAGUGGUUAGGCGAAGCCCUGCGCCGGUAACUUCAUCAUCACCGUUGGCACGCCGUCGUGCUAACGAAACUCUCCCUCGGCCUCAACUGGAUCAAGAGUUCGAGGGACGUCACUGAGUUAAACGUGUGCAGAUCGCGGAGUUGCCGUGCGUUCGGUACUUGGAUCAGUUGGAUCACGAAAACGUUCGACGACAUCAACUGCGUUACUAAACGCUUCCGCUUUCGGUCUACAAGGGUACGUGGACACACUCUCCCCGCUCGUUGCUAUGCUUCUCCUAGAUAGAUCUUGCGUGAUCGUAGGAAUUUUUUUGAAAUACUACGUUCCCCUACAGUGGCAACUGAGCCAGGUCUAUGCAUAGAUGUUAUAUGCACGAGUAGAACACAAAGAGUUGUGGGCGAUAAUAGUCAUACUGCUUACUAGCAUGUCAUACUUUGAUUCGUCGGUAUUGUUGGAUGAAGUCGCCCAGACCGACAUUACAUGACCGCGUUCAUGAGACUGGUUCUACUGCCGUGCUUCGCACACAGGUGGCUAGUGGGUGUCUAUUUCUCCAACUUUAGUUGAAUCGAGUGUGACUACGCCCGGUCCUUGUUGAAGGUUAAAACAACAUACUUAACAAAAAAUCGUUGUGGUUUUGAUGCGUAGGUAAGAACAGUUCUUGCUAGAAGCCCGUAGCAGCCACGUAAAACUUGCAACAACAAAGUAGAGGACGUCUAACUUGUUUUUGCAGGGCUUGUUGUGAUGUGAUAUGGUCAAGACGUGAUGAUAUAUAAUUUGUUGUAUGAGAUGAUCAUGUUUUGUAACAGUUAUCGGCAACUGGCAGGAGCCAUAUGGUUGUCGCUUUAUUGUAUGAAAUGCAAUCGUCAUGUAAUUGCUUUACUUUAUCACUAAGCGGUAGCGAUAGUCGUAGAAGCAAUAGUUGGCGAGACAACAACGAUGCUUCGAUGGAGAUCAAGGUGUCAAGCCGGUGACGAUGGUGAUCAUGACUGUGCUUUGGAGAUGGAGAUCAAAGGCACAAGAUGAUGAUGGCCAUAUCAUAUCACUUAUUUGAUUGCGUGUGAUGUUUAUCUCUUUAUGCAUCUUAUUUUGCUUAGUACGGCGGUAGCAUUAUAAGAUGACCUCUCACUAAAUUUCAAGGUACAAGUGUUCUCCUUGAGUAUGCACCGUUGCUACAGUUCGUCGUGCCGAGACACCACGUGAUGAUCGGGUGUGAUAAGCUCUACGUUCACAUACAACGGGUGCAAGCCAGUUUUGCACACGCAGAAUACUCGGGUUAAACUUGAUGAGCCUAGCAUAUGCAGAUAUGGCCUCGGAACACUGAGACCGAACGGUCGAGCGUGAAUCAUAUAGUAGAUAUGAUCAACAUAGUGAUGUUCACCAUUGAAAACUACUCCAUCUCACGUGAUGAUCAGACAUGGUUUAGUUGAUAUGGAUCACGUGAUCACUUAGAUGAUUAGAGGGAUGUCUAUCUAAGUGGGAGUUCUUAAGUAAUAUGAUUAAUUGAACUUUAAUUUAUCAUGAACUUAGUACCUGAUAGUAUUUGCAUAUCUAUGUUGUAGAUCAAUUGCUUGCGAUGUAGCUUCCGGUUUAUUUUUGAUAUGUUCCUAGAGAAAAAUAAGUUGAAAGGUAAUAGUAGCAAUGAUGCGGACUUGGUCCGUGAUCUGAGGAUUAUCCUCAUUGCUGUACAUAAUAAUUAUGUCCUUGAUGCACCGCUAGGUCACAGACCUAUUGCAGGAGCAGAUGCACGUUAUGAACGUUUGACAAAGCUCGGUAUGAUGACUACUUAAUAGUUUAGUGCACCAUGCUUUACGGCUUAGAACCGGGACUUCAAAAACGUUUUGAAUGCCACGGAGCAUAUAAGAUGUUCUAAGAGUUGAAAUUGGUAUUUCAUACUCAUGCUCGUGUCGAGAGGUAUGAGACCUCUGACAGUACUUUGCCUACAAGAUGGAGGAGAAUAACUCAACCAGUGAGCAUGCGCUCAGAUUGUCUGGGUACUACAAUUUCUUGAAUCAAGUGGGAGUUAAUCUUCCAGAUAAGAUAGUAAUUGAAAAAGUUCUCUAGUCACUAUCACCAAGUUAUUAGAACUUAGUGAUGAACUAUAAUAUGCAAGGGAUGACGAAAGUAAUUCCCAAGCUCUUCGCGAUGCUGAAAUCGGCGAAGGUAGAAAUCAAGAAAUAGCUUCAAGUGUUGAUGGUUAACAAGACCACUAGUUUCAAGAAAAGGGCAAAGGGAAAGAAAGAGGAACUUCAAAGAAGAAUAGCAAGCAAGUUGCUGCUCCCAUGAAGAAUCCCAAAGCUAGACCCAAGCCUGGAACUGAGUGCUUCUACUGCAAAGGAAAUGGUCACUGGAAGUGGAACUGCCCUAGAUACUUGGCGGAUAAGAAGGAUGGCAAAGUGAACAAAAGUAUAUUUGAUAUACAUAUUAUUGAUGUGUACUUUACUAGUGUUUAUAGCAACCCCUCAGUAUUUGAUACUGGUUCAGUUGCUAAGAGUAGUAACUCGAAAUGGGAGUUGCAAAAUAAACAGAGACUAGUUAAGGGCGAGGUGAUGAUGUGAGUUGGAAGUGAUUCCAAGGUUGAUAAGAUCACCAUCGCACACUCCCUUUACCUUCGGGAUUAGUGUUGAACCUAAAAUAAAUGUUAUUUGGUGUUUGCGUUGAGCACAAAUAUGAUUGGAUCAUGUUUAUUCCAAUACGGUUAUUCAUUUAAGUCAAAGAAUAAUUGUUGUUCUAUUUACAUGAAUAAAAUCUUCUAUGGUCAUACACUCAAUAUAAAUGGUUUAUUGAAUCUCGAUCGUAGUAAUAUACAUAUUCAUAAUAUUGAAGCCAAAAGAUGCAAAGUUAAUAAUGAUAGUGCAACUCAUAUGUCGCACUGCCGUUUAGGUCAUAUUGUUGCAAAGCGCAUGAAGAAACUCCAUGCUGAUGGACUUUUGGAAUCACUUGAUGCUUGCGAACCAUGCCUCAUGGGGAAGAUGACUAAGACUCCGUUCUCCGGAACAAUGGAGCAAGCAACUGACUUAUUGGAAAUAAUACAUACUGAUGUAUGCGGUCCGAUGAGUGUUGAGGCUUGCGGCGGGUAUCAUUAUUUUCUGACCUUCACAGAUAAUUUGAGCAAAUAUGGGUAUAUCUGCUUGAUGAAACAUAAGUCUGAAACAUUUGAAAAGUUCAAAGAAUUUCAGAGUGAAGUAGAAAAUCAUUAUAACAAGAAAAUAAGGUUUCUACGAUAUGAUCGUGAGGUGAAUAUUUGAGUUAUGAGUUUGUUCUUCAUUUGGAAUGAUGUGGAAUAGUUUCGCAACUCACGCCACGUGGAACACCAUAUAUAGCGUAAUGGUGUGUCCGAACGUCAUAACCGUACUUUAUUAGAUAUGGUGUGAUCUAUGAUGUCUCUUACCGAUUUACCACUAUCGUUUUAGGGUUAUGCAUUAGAGACAACCGCAUUCACGUUAAAUAGGGCACCAUCUAAAUCCGUUGAGACGACAUCAUAUGAACUGUGGUUUGGCAAGAAACCUAAGCUAUCGUUUCUUAAAGUUUGGGGCGGCAAUGCUUACCUGAAAAAGUUUCAACCUGAUAAGCUCGAACCCAAAUCGGAGAAAUAUGUCUUCAUAAGAUACCCAAAGGAAACUGUUGGGUACACCUUCUAUCACAGAUCCGAAGGCAAGAUAUUCGUUGCUAAAAAUAGGAUACUUUCUAGAGAAGUAGUUUCUCUCGAAAGAAGUGAGUGGGAGGAAAGUAGAACUUGAUGAGGUAAUUGUACCUGCUCUCUUAUUGGAAAGUAGUUCAUCACAUAAAUCAGUUCCAGUGAUUCCUACACCAAUAAGUGAGGAAGCUAAUAAUGAUGAUCAUGAAGCUUCUGAUCAAGUUACUACCGAACCUCGUAGAUCAACCAGAGUAAGAUCCGCACCAGAGUGGUACGGUAAUUCUGUUCUGGACGUCAUGUUACUUGACCAUGACGAACCUACGAACUAUGAGGAAGCGAUGAUGAGCCCAGAUUCCGCGAAAUGGCUUGAGGCAAUGAAAUCUGAGAUGGGAUCCAUGCAUGAGAACAAAGUAUGGACUUUGAUUGACUUGCCCGAUGAUCGGCAAGCCAUUGAGAAUAAAUGGAUCUUCAAGAGGAAGACAUACAUUGAUAGUAGUGUUACUAUCUACAAAGCUCGAAUUGUCACAAAAAGGUUUUCGACAAGUUCAAGGUGUUGACCACGAUAAGAUUUUCUUACUCAUAGCGAUGCUUAAGUCUGUCCGAAUCAUGUUAGCAAUUGCCACAUUUUAUGAAAUCUGGCAAAUGGAUGUCAAAACUACAUUCCUUAAUGGAUUUCUUAAAGAAGAGUUGUAUAUGAUGCAACAAGAAGGUUUUGUCAAUCCUAAAGGUGCUAGGAAAGUAUGCAAGCUCCAGCGAUCCAUCUAUGGACUGGAGCAAGCAUCUCGGAGUUGGAAUAUAUGCUUUGAUAAGUUGAUCAAAGCAUAUAGUUUUAUACAGACUUGCAAUGAAGCCUGUAUUUACAAGAAAGUGAGUGGAAGCACUACAGCCUUUCUGAUAAGUAUAUAUGAAUGACAUAUUGUUGAUCGGGAAUGAUGUAGAAUUUUCUGGAAAGCAUAAAAGGAGUGUUUGAAAGGAGUUUUUCAAAGAAAUACCUCGGUGAAGCUACUUACAUAUUGGGCAUCAAGAUCUAUAGAGAUAGAUCAAGACGCUUGAUAUGAUUUUUCAAUGAGUACAUACCUUGACAAGAUUUUUGAAGUAGUUCAAAAUGGAACAGUCAAAGAAGAAGUUCUUGCCUGUAUUGCAUGGUGUAAAGUUGAGUAAGACUCAAAACACGACCACGGCAGAAAAUAGAAAGAGAAUGAAAGUCAUUCCCUAUGCCUCAGCCAUAUGUUCUAUAAAGUAUGCUAUGCCGUGUACCAAACCUUUUGUGUACCUUGCCAUGAGUUUGGCAAAGGGGUACGAUAUUGAUCCAGGAGUGGAUCACUUGACAACGGUCAAAAUUAUCCUUAGAACACUAAGGAGAUAUUUCUCGGUUAUGGAGGUGAUAAAGAGUUCGUCGUAAAGAGUUACGCCGAUGCAAGCUUUUACACCGAUCCGGAUGACUCUGAGUCUCAAUAUGGAUACAUAUUGAAAGUGGGAGCAAUUAGCUAGAGUAGCUCCAUGCAGAGGAUUGUAGACAUAGAAAAUUUGCAAAAUACAUACGGCUCUAAAUGUGACAGAUCCAUUGACUAAGCUUCUCUCACAAGCAAAACAUGAUCACACCUUAGUACUCUUUGGGUGUUAAUCACAUAGCAAUGUGAGCUAGAUUAUUGACUUUAGUAAAACCCUUUGGGUAUUAGUCACAUGGCGAUGUGAACUAUUGGUGUUAAAUCACAUGGCUAUGUGAACUAGAUUAUUGACUCUAGUGCAAGUGGGAGACUGAAGGAAAUAUGCCCUAGAGGCAAUAAUAAAGUUGUUAUUUAUAUCUCCUUAUAUCAUGAUAAAUGUUUAUUAUUCAUGCUAGAAUUGUAUUAACCGGAAACUUAGGACAUGUGUGAAUACAUAGACAAAACAGACUGUCCCUAGUAUGCCUCUACUUGAUUAGCUCGUUAAUCAAAGAUGGUUAUGUUUCCUAACCAUAGACAUGUGUUGUCAUUUGAUGAACGGGAUCACAUCAUUAGAGAAUGAUGUCAUGGACAAGACCCAUCCGUUAGCUUAACAUUAUGAUCGUUGAGUUUUAUUGCUAUUGCUUUCUUCAUGACUUAUACAUGCUCCUCUGACUAUGAGAUUAUGCAACUCCCGAAUACCGAAGGAACACCUUGUGUGCUAUCAAACGUCACAACGUAACUGGAUGAUUAUAAAAAUGCUCUACAGGUGUCUCUGAGGGUGUUUGUUGGGUUGGCAUAGAUCGAGAUUAGGAUUUGUCACUCCGUGUAUCGGAGAGGUAUCUCUGGGCCCUCUCGGUGAUGAUCAUCACUAUAAGCCUUGCAAGCAAUGUGACUAAUGAGUUAGUUAUAGGAUGAUGCAUUACAGAACGAGUAAAGAGACUUGCCGGUAAUGAGAUUGAACUAGGUAUGUUGAUACCGACGAUCGAAUCUCGGGCAAGUAACAUACCGAUGACAAAGGGAACAAUGUAUGUUGUUAUGCGGUUUGACCGAUAAAGAUCUUCAUAGAAUAUGUAGGAACCAAUAUGAGCAUCCAGGUUCCACCAUUGGUUAUUGACCAGAGAUGUGUCUCGGUCAUGUCUACAUAGUUCUCGAACCCGUAGGGUCCGCACGCUUAACGUUUGAUGACGAUUUGUAUUAUGAGUUAUGUGAUUUGAUGACCGAAGUUUGUUCGGAGUCCCAGAUGAGAUCACGGACAUGACGAGGAGUCUCAAAAUGGUCGAGACGUAAAGAUCGAUAUAUUGAAAGGCUAUAUUCGGACAUUGGAAAGGUUCUGAGUUGUUCAGGUAUUUUUCGGAGUACCAGAGAGUUAUGGGAAGUCGUCGGGGGAAGUAUUGGGCCUUCAUGGGCCUUACUGGAAAGGAGAGAAGGGCCACAAGGGGAGGCCGCACGCCCCCCCAUGGGCUGGUCCGAAUUGGAGCUUCCUCAAGUCACCAUCAGUUCCUCGAUGACCGCUGUCAGUGUCAUCCCUGUGGCACUGCUCUGCUUCUGCAGCAUCUUCCAGCCGGCGGCGUCGUCCUCCUUCUCAGCGAGCGCCUUGAGGAGCUUCGCAUUUUCACCCAUGAGUUGCUCGACGAGGCCGGUCGCCUUGUCAACCGAGGCAUCGCUGAUCUUGAGCAGCUUCAUCAAGCCGUCGACCAGCUCCUGCUGCUUAGUGACGCCAGCGAGAAUGUUGUCGUCGCCGGCGAAGGACUUCAGGAACGCCAGCUCGUCACGAUGGCCAACGCCGUGAAUGCGCUUGUGAGAGCCCUCGCGUGCCCGUGAGAGCUCGUUCGAGGGCUCCGCGGCGAGCCGGGACAUCUCUGCUGCGGCUGCGGCUUCGCGACGAGACCUCUCUAGUGCUUCCGCGGCCUUGGUCUUUGCUGCCUGGUUAUAUGUCCACCCUAAGCUCCUCCUACCGGUCAUGGCGGAACGAUUUGACAGGAAAGAUCAAUUUUGUGGGUGAUGAGGAGAGGAACUAUGAAGUAAUUUUCGAGUGGGUAGUUUUAAUAGCCUGGUGCUAAGUGUGAACACAUAUUAGUUUAAUAGGUGUGAACAGAUUUGCAAUUACUUAUUGCGUUGUAAUCUGCAAUGUGAUGAGAAACAAGGUCAAAAUUUAUUGAUGGCAGAAGGUUGAUCACGUGGUUGCUCGCCGCUGAGGCGGCCGCGGCGCGCUCUGCUCACGUCCGUCCGAGCGUUUUGCUCGCCAUUGAGGCGUCUGCGGGGCGCUCCGUUCAUCCGAGUCGGCUGUUUGCCAUGUAUCACACACAUCUUGUUAAGUUGAAGCGUUUCUGUUGUGUUCCCUAAUCGAAAACAUAUCGUUCAAGUGAACCGUAUGCCGUAUAUCACACACACAUUGAUCUGGCUAACCGUUUCUGUUGCACUCCUAAUAGCAAACAGUUCAUCGAAGCGAACUGUAUGCCAUAUAUCGCACACACAUUGAUAUGACUGCCCGUUUCUGUUGUUCUGCCUCAUCGCAAACAGUUCGAAUGGAUUAACUGUGUGCCCUGCAUCGCACACGCAACUAAAAUCUGAAACGUGUUUGAUGGCUCCGCCAUCGCAAAUGUUUUGCACCUUUUUUGACAGUUUUUUACAUCCCCGUUUGCGAUUAAUGCAUCGCACACAGUUUCGUGAAAGGGUCUCUGAUCGUAGUGUCGCGUUAGCAGCAUCCUGCUAUAGUGUUAAUGCCGAGCGGAUUAGAUCAUAUUUAGAGAAGGGCCCUUUUCCCAGACUUACACCACUCCCGCAUCCACAUGUGUAGAGCCACUUGAAACUUAACGAAACUGAUAUCGACUGGCUAGCACUAGCCCUAGUUAAAGCCGUCGCUAAGUCAACAGAAAAUUUACAUUGAGUAGGGUAGACAUAACAUCAAGAGCUCAUCCCUUUGUGCUUUUGCCAACGCGAAGCAACAAAUAGUUACUGAAAAUAGAAACUCGAGAGGCAAAGCAACAAAUAGUUCCUGCAAAACAUAAACUUGAGAUGCAUGGUGGCAAUUGGUAGCAGAGAUGCAACAUUCCAAAACCAUUAUUGGGUAGCACAACAUCAACCUCAUAAGUUAUUUUCCGGGUUUUUUAUUUGACUCAAACUCAUGGAAUGCCCAUCCAUGAUCACUAUCUUCAACCUCUCUUUCUCUUGCUACCCCUUUUCCUGACGCUUCUCCUCAUCGGUAACGCCAAAAUAUCCUUUCUCCCGUUGUUGCACCAUUGUUGGAGUCGCUCCCGAGCUCCUCUUCGAACUCAGUCGGAGUCGGAGUCCUCGUCAUCCGUCGACAUGCCUUUCAGGCCGCCCACGCGCUGCAGAAUAGCACAAAGCUCAACAAGGUGAUCAUCCAUUUUGGCUACAUGCCAAGUCUCUGUCAUGCGAACAGAGAGAAACUGAAAGCCAAAAACACUGAAAGCAAAACGUUCAAUUGGUUUGGCUGCGAUUCUGUCCCCAAGACGGUACUAGGAAAAUUAAGUCUUCAAUACAAAGUACUUCCUCCAUCCAAAUUGUCAGCCCCGCUCGUAUCUUAAAACAAUUUUCAAUAUAGAUGUCACUUGCAAAAUAUGUGAUAUACUAUAAUAAUUGUAUUUUCAGAUUUGUAUUUGAAAGAAGUUUCUAAUAAUAUAUUUUUUGUUAAACAUAUAACUCAUAUUUUGUAAGUUGAAUUUAUGAUAGAAAUUUAACUCAAACUCUAGUGAUAAAUUUCUAGAACCAAAAACACUGAAGUCGUGUUAUAAAUCUCUAGAAAUCUAAUUACAAUGCGAAAUUUAGAAAUAACAUACGCAGUUGGAUCUAAACAACUAAUAUAAUUAUAAUCCUAACGAGGUGAAUCACAAUCAAAUAUAUAAUUCAUCAAGAAUAACAAAAUCAUGGUGAUGAAGUGAAGUGCAAAUAGCAGUGGAAAAGCUAGUCAGUACCUUCUCGGACUUCUUUUCCUUGACUUUGUACCUGGUCCUGUUGGCCUGCCAGAGCCACUCCCCUGGGCAGAUGUUCUGCACGCACGAACAGAUCGUGUCAGUGAUACCAAAACGAAUCCAUGAAACAAAGGCAAAAUUAAUAAAAAAAAUCUUUGGGCAUGCAUGCAUACGUUGACUUGCUUCUGGACUAUCCCGGGGCGCCUGUGGGGGAACCGCGGCAGCCUGGUGACCGUCAUGGCCAGCCAGUCCUCCUCUUUCUCCUCGUGCGUCAGCUGCGUGACGACCCGCGGCACCACCGGCCUCGCCAUGGCCGCCUUCUCCUCCUCCUCCUCCUCAACGUGUGGCGGCACCUCCACCAUGGGCGCCUUCCCUUUCUGCUCCGCUGUCGCCUUGAUCGACUCCUGACGCUGCUGCUUCUUAGGCUCCACUUUGGGCGCUGGCUGCUGCUUCUCCUCCUCCACCGCUGGCUGCUGCUUCUCCUCCUUCGCCCCUGCCUGCUUCUCGCCGGCGGCGGUGUGAGGUUCCUCCGAAGAACUGGUCAACAUCAAUUUUUGCAUUAGUAGAACGAUCGAUGACACGACCAGAACUCAAAAAAGCUUAUCUCUUACGGCAACGUUGCGGCGUUGUUGGGUUGAAACUUGAAAGGGAGGGUCUGGGUGACACGAUCAAAACGAUCGACCACAUGAAAUAGAACAACAGAACUAACGCAGGACUAUGUAUGUUGUACGUAGUAGUAUCAAUCUAUUUUGCGCCGGUGAUGUCACCGGUUCGUCCCUUCCUUGCACCGCGUACAUGCAAACAAUGGGUUAGAUAGAAACUAUUAAUGUGGCAUUAGUGCCAGAGUGUACGCGGAUGGAUAUGCAAGCUCACUGGAUAGAUACUCGAUAUAUAAUGCUGGACAUUGGCCAGAUUAUCUAUCCUCGGGAUAAUCUGGUGACGCUUAAUGUGACGUUAGUACUCUACUGGUAGUGGAAACAAAACAUGAUUAAAAUAAACUUCGGUUUCUAAAGAUGAAAAUAGAAGACUACAAAAAGUGUUUAAAAAAAUUCGAAACAAACGCAAAAGAUUUGCCUCAUCUUGUCAAUAAAGAAGAAGGUUACUAGAGGUUUAAGGGAGGAGGCCAUUACUCCUUCACAAAUGGACAAAAAAGGCAUACUCUCGUGGCAUAAUGGAACCCAGGUGCCUUGCACUAGUGGGUGGUUACCCAAAGCAUGGCCUCGGCCUUAUUGAGCGCGAAGACGAUCAUCAGCAUGUUAGAUGGCGAAAAUGAAUCGUUGAUUCAGGAUCGCUAGGCCCUAGCCUUGUCGUCUGCUGGUAAUUCGCAUGGCCCUUUUGAGGCAUGGAUUGUGCUUGCGGCAAAUUUACGCGUUUUGUACGUGUUUUUUNNNNNNNNNNNNNNNNNNNNNNNNNNNNNNNNNNNNNNNNNNNNNNNNNNNNNAACGUGGGAACUCUUGACAAGGCUUUGCGCAAGCAGUUAGUGGCCAAAUUGGCAAUGCUAGAUGCCCAGGCUGAUCAAUGUGUGUUCUUGCCGAACGGGAACAUAGAUACGCCACCGAGAACAAGGUCCGCGCUAUCCUUCACACGGAGGAAGAGUACUCACGUCAUAGAGGUGGGGUCAAGUGGAUUACCAAAGGGGAUGCAAACACACGCUACUUUCAUGCAUAAGCGAAUGGCCGUCGGCGUAAGUGCUCCAUCCAGCGUCCGCAAUCGGAGCAGGGCGUAUCUAUAGUUUCUACAUUAGCUGGACAGGCUCGGAUGAGCCCAAAUUGGUUGUGCUGCACUCUAAUCUGCGGGUUAACUCGCAGUGCAUUUCGCAUGAGGAAAAUGCUAGAUUAUGUGCUCCUUCCUGGCUCAAGAGAUCGACGCGGAGCUUCUCUCCAUGGAACUGGAUAGGGUGUCCGGUCUAGACGGUUGGUCGGUUGCCUUCUUUCACAUGUUCUUGAAUUUUCUGAAGGGCCCUUUGCUUGUCAUCUGCACUGGUUUCACGGUUGGUAUGCUUGACAUAUCUAGGUUAAAAUUUGGCGUGCUUCCGUUAAUUUUGAAGUCAAGGGGGCUGAUAAAACAUUUGCCAAUUUCGCCCGAUAGCGCUGAUCAACGUUCCUUUUAAAAUCCGUUGUAAAAAGCCUAUGCCUCACGUCCCUCUCCGAUGGCCCAUCGUGUCAUAAAUUGAUGUCGAUCCGCGUUUGUCAAAGACUGUUACAUCCUUGAAGGGUCAGUGGCGUUGCAUGAGAAAAUGCACGGAGUUAAGAGAUGUAGACAAUAGGCUACCCUACUUAAGUUAGAUAUCAAAAAAAGCUUAUGAUUGUGUCAGCUGGGUAUUUCUCCACGAGGUUUUUCUUCACAGUGGUUUUGAGGCUAGGUGGGUUCAACAAGCGUGGGUUGAUACAAGGCAAUCCCUCUACCGCUUGCUCUUUAACUUCGUUGUUGAGGCACUCUCGGCAAUGCUCGAUAGGGAUCAAGCUACUAGGCAUAUGAAGGGGGGGUGGCCCACCUUAUCCCUAGGGGAUGUGCAACUGCAAUACAUAGAUGACACAAUGAUGUUGUUCGAACCGGACCAGCUUAGUAUUGCCCCGGUAAAACUAAUCCUUCUAUGUUUUGAGGCAAUGUCGGGGAUGAAGGUUAAUUUCCAUAAGUCCAAGGGGAUGGAUCACUUGGAGGAAUAUCAGGUUCCAAGUUAGGACACUUCCCAAUCUCGUACUUAGGGGUUCCCAAUUAAUAACACGAACAUUACAAUCUCUGAUGGCGAGGCGUUGUGUUGCUCGGUAGCUAAGUGGGUUUGCCCGUGGCAUGCAAGGUCAUGUCUUCGCGCGCCAGGCUGAUCUUAACAAAUUUGAGCAUCUCCUAUCUUACCAUAUCCAUGACGGGCUUGUUCCUUCUAGCUGAUGGGGCUCACGCCAAACUGGACAUGUCGCGCUCCAAGUUCUUUUGGGAAGGAGGUGGAGCCAAGAGGAAAUACCAUGAGGUUAAGUGAGCGACAGUUUACCGUCCUAAAAAGUCAGGAGGCUUGGGCAUAAUAAAUCUCAAACUUAUGAACAUUUUCCUUUUAUCCAAGUGGGUUUGGAAGCUCUCCCAAAAUGCUAGUGAGCUUUGGGUAAGCUUUUCAAGGCAAGGUAUUUCCCGGACUGCUCUUUUGUUUUGAAUCUAAGGUUUGUGGCUACCCAUUUUGGAAUGGGAUCCAAGCGGUUAAGCCGGCUUUCACUUUGGGGGCAAAGUUUUCGACUGGGAAUGGCAAGCCCAUCCGUAUUUUUGUUUGACUAUUGGCUGGAUUUCCAGCUGCUUUGGAUGGAAUUAUGUGCUCUGUACUCCAUAAUAGUGGAGCCGGAUAUCUCGGUAGCCGAGGCAUUUCUCUUCUCCCCCUAGUUGUAGCAUUUCAUCAUGAGCUAACCACUAUUGAGAAUGCUAGUCGGAACUCUCUUUGGGAUAGGCUCCAAUACAUGCUCAUGUCCAGUGGUGAGGACGUGGUUACGAGACACGAUUACUAGCUCUAGCCAGUUCUCGGUAAAAUCACUCUAUGCACAACUAUCUAAAACUUCUUCACUUUUUGUCAUGUGCCAUAUUUGGAAGGCCACUACGGCUCAAAGUUAAAAUAUUCUUGUGGCAAAUGUUUAGAAACCACCUGCCGACGUCUAACAAUAUAGUUAAGCGCAAUGACCGUUUGGACGCCCAUUGUGCUUUGUGUGUGGUGUGGAAGGACGCCAACCACGUCUUCUUUAGAUAUCAUUUUUCGCGCUUUCUGUGGAGUGCAGUUCGUGAAGCUUCGGAGCUGCAUUGGGAUCUAGCCUCUAGUGCAGAGUUGAUCUUGCUAUUGAACUCGUUACGUGGCGUGUCCAAACACGUAAUGUGGCCAUAUGUAGAGCCACUGUUAUGGGCCAUUCGGCAAAACGACAACAAAAUUACGAUUGAGGUUGCCCUCCCUCUCCCCGCUGACCGCUUUUUCCAGUGCAAUGUUUACCUGCAGCAGUGGAUGCUGCUUGGGAAGCGAAGCGACGUUGAUAGCAUAGUGUUGGCGAUCAACAAGCUAUGACGGGUCUACUCGAUAGCUCAUUCAUCUCCGCCGGUGUGUUAGGGUCAUGGCAUCCUUUUGGAUCCUCCCCGAGCCUGCGGGCUCUGCCUUGGUUUGAUGCCCUAGUGAUUUAUGUCGUACUCGGGAAACCAAGUUUCCUCUAUGUGGUGUGACUUGUUUGUAUAUUGUCGGUGUGUAGGCUUUAUUAAGUUUAUGCCAGACACUUUUGUUAUCUUCAUUCGACCUCGCAUUCCUCUCAUUCCAAAGUUCCCACACAACGAGCAUGAUGGUGGAGGCUAUCUCUUUCCUACUUUGGCCACGACCGAGAGUACCGUGGUAGUCCACCCCAUUGAGCGAUGUUCAACUCCAAGGAGGCAAGCCAUGCCUUUAAAACCUUGAAAACACAGAUGGAGGGUUUGCACUUGAACAAAAUGUGUGUAGCGGACUCAAGCUUCCUCCUAAAAAGUUGACUGAAGCUAGUUUGGACAUCCUCUCCUCUCUAGACUCGGUAGUCGAAAAUCAUAUUCUUGAUGGCAAGUCAUGCAAAAAACUUGCACUUGGGGGCACCCACUUAUGAAAUGUUGCAUGCUUAAUCAAAAUGGUGAUGGACCCCUCAGCGGAAGCAGCAGAGUAGAUGCCAUUUGCCGCAAGCUUCCAAACGAUGUUAUUGGCGGUCUCUUGCUGAAGAUGAACAUGAUCAAGCAUAGCCCAAAGAGCGCAAACUUGAUUGAUGUGAUAAAUUAUGAGUCCCGUGGACAUGUCAAUUCUCCUCAGCCAACCAUUGUCGUGGAGAGUGUGAUGAGGACCGAACCUCGAGGCAAGAUCUGGUCUAUCAUCACAACCCUAUCUUUCACGGCCGUCCACCUUCAGUGCAGUAGCCUCUUGCCCCGCACGUGGUGUACACGAAGUAGAGGGUUUGAACCUUGCGGUUGAACACAAUAUAACCAAUCUAGAAGAUGGAAACUCAUGCACAAGACAAUUUUUAUGCAGAAAUCACAAUAUACAGGUCUUCAAAGAUUCCUCCAAAACAUAGGAUUUUCAGACAGCUUCCCUCAAAACUCGAUAUGGGUAUUUUUCUGCAAUAUAUGUCUAUUUACUCAAAAUAACUUGUUUAGUUACAUGGCACACAACAUAGGCUUUAAUACAUGACCCAACUAACUUAGCUUGGAAAGAAAGUUGAUUGCCCAACUAAAUCUCAUGUACAUGCUCAAGAAUUGCCUAAAAUCUAUCAACUAUUAGAUUUCUUAGUUUAUAGGUUAGCAAGACAAGCUUUACAACCCAAAUCAAACACCUUAGAUUUCUAUCGUAAAUAAAUACGACUUCUUUUAAAUUGGUGCGUCACAGUGAUGUUGUUCAAACCGGACCAGCUUAGUAUUGCCUCGGUAAAACCAAUCCUUCUAUGUUUUGAGGCAAUGUCGGGGAUGAAGGUUAAUUUCCAUAAGUCCAAGGGCAUGGAUCACUAGGAGGAAUAUCAGGUUCCAAGUUAGGAGACUUCCCAAUUUCGUACUUAGGGUUCCCAAUUAAUAACAAGAACCUUAAAAUCUCUGAUGGCAAGGCGUUGUGUUGUUCGGUAGCUAAGAGGGUUUGCCCGUGGCAUGCAAGGUCAUGUCUUCGGGCGCCAGCCUGAUCUUAACAAAUUUGAGCAUCUCCUAUCUUACCAUAUCCAUGAUGGGCUUGUUCCUUCUAGAUGAUGGGGCUCACGCCAAACUGGACAUGUCACGCUCCAAGUUCUUUUGGGAAGGAGCUGGAGCCAAGAGGAAAUACCAUGAGGUUAAGUGAGUGACAGUUUACCGUCCAAAAAAUUCAGGAGGCUUUGGCAUAAUUAAUUUGAAACUUAUGAGCAUUCCAUUUUAUAUAAGUGGGUUUGGAAGCUCUCCCAAUAUGCUUUUUCCAAGCAAAGUAUUUCCCGGACUGCUCUUUUGUUUUGAAUCUAAGGUUUGUGGCUGCCCAUUUUGGAAUGGGCUUUCAAUUUGGAGGCAAAGUUUUCGACUGGGAAUGGCAAGCCCAUCCGUAUUUUUGUUUGACUAUUGGCUGGAUUUGCAGCCGCUUUGGAUGGAAUUAUGUGCUAUGUACUCCAUAACAAUGGAGCCGGAUAUCUCGGUAGCCGAGGCAUUUCUCUUCUCCCCCUAGUUGUAGCCUUUCAUCGUGAGCUAACCACUAUUGAGAAUUCUAGUCGGAACUCUCUUUGGGAUAGGCUCCAAUACAUGCUCAUGUCCAGUGGUGAGUACGUGGUUACGAGGCACCUUACAAGCUCUAGCCAGUUCUCGGUAAAAUCGCUCUAUGCACAACUAUCUAAAACUUCUUCACUUUUUGUCAUGUGCCAUAUUUGGAAGGCCACUACCGCUCAAAGUUAAAAUAUUCUUAUGGCAAAUGUUUAGAAACCACCUGCUGACGUCUAACAAUAUAGUUAAGCGCAAUGACCGUUUGGACGCCCAUUGUGCUUUGUGUGUGGUGUGGAAGGACGCCAACCACGUCUUCUUCAGAUAUCCUUUUCGCGCUUUCUGUGGAGUGCAGUCCGUGAAGCUUCGGGGCUGCAUUGGGAUCUAGCCUCUGGUGCGGAGUUGAUCUUGCUAUUGAACUCGUUACCUGGCGUGUCCAAAUGCGUAAUGUGGCCAUAUGUAGAGCCACUGUUAUGGGCCAUUCGGCAAAACGACAAUAAAAUUAUGAUUGAGGUUGCCCUCCCUCACCCCGCUGACCACUUUUUCCAGUGCAAUGUUUACCUACAGCAGUGGAUGCUGCUUGGGAAGCGAAGCGAUGUUGAUAGCAUAGUGUUGGCGAUCAACAAGCUAUGACGGGUGUACUCGAUGGCUCGUUCAUCUCCGCCGGUGUGUUAGGGUCAUGGCAUCCUUUUGGAUCCUCCCCGAGCCUGCGGGCUCUGCCUUGGUUUGAUGCCCUAGUGAUUUAUCUCAUACCCAGGAAACCACGUUUCCUCUAUGUAAUGUGACUUGUUUGUAUAUUCCGGUGUGUAGGCUUUAUUAAGUUUAAGCCGGACACUUUUUUUAUCUUCAUUCUAAAAAGAACCUCGCAUUCCUCUCGUUCCAAAGUCCCCCCCCCCCACAAUGAGCAUGAUGGUGGAGGCUAUCUCUUUCCUACUUUGGCCACGACCGAGAGUACCGUGGUAGUCCACCCCAUUGAGCGAUGUUCAACUCCAAGGAGGCAAUCUAUGCCUUUAAAACCUCGAAAACACAGAUGGAGAGUUUGCACUUGAACAAAAUGUGUGGCGCGGACUCAAGCUUCCUCCUAAAAAGUUGACUCAGGCCACGGUUUGGACAUGCUCUCCUCUCUAGACUCGGUGGUCGAAAAUCAUAUUCUUGAUGACAAGUCAUGCAAAAAACUUGCACUUGGGGGCACCCACUUAUAAAACAUUGCAUGCUUAAUCAAAAUGGUGAUGGACCCCUUAGCGGAAGCAGCGGAGUAGAUGCCAUUUGCCGCAAGCUUCCAAACGAUGUUACUGGCGGUCUCUUGCUGAAGACGAACAUGAUCAAGCAUAGCCCAAAGAGCGCAAACUUGAUCGAUGUGAUAAAUUAUGAGUCCCGUGGACAUGUCAAUUCUCCUCAGCCAAGCAUUGUUGUGGAGAGUGUGAUGAGGAACGAACCUCGAGGCAAGAUCUGAUCUAUCAUCACAACCCUAUCUUUCAUGGCCGUCCACCUUCGGUGCAGUAGCCUCUUGCCCCGCACGUGGUGUACACGAAGUAGAGGGUUUGAACCUUGCGGUUGAACACAAUAUAACCAAUCUAGAAGAUGGAAACUCAUGCGCAAGACAAUUUCUAUGCAGAAAUCACAAUAUACAUGUCUUCAAAGAUUCCUCCAAAACAUAGGAUUUUCAGACAGCUUCCCUCAAAACUCAAUAUGGGUAUUUUUCUGCAAUAUAUGUCUAUUUCCUCAAAAUAACUUGUUGUUACAUGGCACACAAGAUAAGCUUUAAUACAUGACCCAACUAACUUAGCUUGGAAAGAAAGUUGAUUGCCCAACUAAAUCUCCUGUACAUGCUCAAAAAUUACCUAAAAUCUACCAACUAUUAGAUUUCUUAGUUUAUAGGUUAGCAAGAUAAUCUUUACAACCCAAAUCAAACACCUUAGGUUUCUAUCGUAAAUAAAUACGACUUCUUUUAAAUUGGUGCGUCAUUGUGGUAUACUGUGCAUGGUAGACCCCAACUGCAAGUCUUCCAACACAAUAUAUUCCAUGCAUGUGAACCUCUCAGCCUAAUCUCUCCUUGAUGUGAACGAAUAAAAAUAGCAAGUUCAUGCACCUUUCUCUUUAUACCGCGGCCCUUAAAUAAUCCAACCAUCUCUUCUUCAAAGUAGGAAGCCAAUCUCUUUGUUUUUGUCAUACACCUUUCACUUUCUACCAUGUCACGUAAAUAAUUCGACCAUCUCUUCUUCAAAGUAGGAAACUAAUCUCUAUUUUUUCAUCUCUAACUCUUAAAUUAUAACUAAGUUGUUGGUUUCCUUUUACUCAUAUGAUUGAUACGGUGGCUCUGAAAUGACAAAAUAGAAGCAUGGACUUCUCUUCUCCUCAGCUCGCCCACAUGCAUCGAUACCUGGUUUCUUCUUGCUCCCAAUUGAAGUUAUUUUUGUCCAGUCCGGGACAAAUACAUUAUUUCUCAUGUCCAACCCAUGCAAAGUAGAUGCAUGGAUUACGACUUAUGUACAAUGUGUGCAUUGGCGCUUUAUCAUCACAGACUGGAAUAACACUAAGAAAAUCAUGAACAUGUAUGGUCGUAUCAUCCUCUAGACCUUGAGACGAAACUGACCUCGGUUUUGAGUAAGUCCCUUCAGAGAUAUUUAAUUUGUAGAUUGAUCAGAGACCAUAGAAUUUCAAUAGCUUUGACCUUCUUCUUUUCUGCUUCUUUGUGAUCUUUUAUCUUCUCAAGGUGUUCUUUCCUCCAAGCAAUAAAAGGCUCAUCCUGCACGUGCACGAAGCCAUAUUUCUGACCCUCAUUAAUGUGAUAUGUGUUGGCGUGACUAUUAUAUUUAGCACGGUGUUCCUUGUACCAUGUAUCUCCCAACAACAAGUGACAUGAAACCAUCUAUACAGGGAACAUGUGGAACAUGACUUCUCAAAAGGAUUUUUUCAACAAAAGCGAUACCUUUGUUCAACAAGUAUGGUUGAGACCCUCGGCCUCUGCAUCAUUGUGAUGCACAAAACCAUAUAUUAAUUGUCAAGCGGAGUACUGAACAAAUGCAUCUCAGGCCGAAACAUUACAGGUUGUGAAAAAACACCUAGGACUAAAUCAACUUCUUCCGCAACAACGCCUUCAAGAAGGGAUAAACGUCCUCGCUUGUCAUAGCCACAUCCUAUCAAAGAUGGACCAGACAUGAUUUGCAUCAUGGUUGCCGUGACCAGCACCACAACAAGUAGAGAACACCUUCAACAAGGUAACAACGCAAGUUCGUCACUUGUAAGCAUGAUUAAUAAAGACCAGUACAAAAUAAUUCACCAUAGAUAUGAAGGAGUGUUUCAGUUAGCAUCUUCAUCAUGUAUGAGGGGAUAUUAACAUCCAUUAGUACUCCAUGUGAAUAAGGUUAAUCCACCUAAAGUCAGCGAAGCAUUCAUCACCAUUCUUCUUUGGGAGGAUCACAAUGUUGGCCGAAUUAAGCCGCUUAAUGUGCUCAAUAAUGAGUCUGGAAAAAUUAUUGAUCAUAGCCAUGAUGCCAUGCUUAAUUGUAGCACAACAAGCCUUGGAAAAAGCCCAGACAAAGCGAUCUGGAGAUCGAGACUUAUCCUUAGGCAUCUGUGCAAUGACGUCAAUCAUUUCCUUCUCUGUGAAAGGGUCUCCGAUGCCAGAGAGGUCGCAGAGAAAUAUAGAAUUUCCCAAUUAAAGGCUCAUUGACACCCCUGUGCUUUAUGCGACAUGGUGAAGAAAUGGUCUUGCACCACCCUUGCUUUAUCAUUGUCGAAAGUAAGCUAGCCGGCUCCCUGCCGAAUCUUGUCGAUGAAGUUAUUGUGCCUUCAAGCAUAGAUGCAGAGGUAAUUUGUUUGUAUUUGCAUCACCCUCCUUAAGGUUUGAAAUGAUCUUUCCAGACUCGUUAGAUCGACGACCCUCCACUUUAUCCUUUAUCUCAAAUCACUCUCCUCUAGUGAAAUCGGUAGGGAAUCUAUGUCUGUAUAGAAUCUAAGGAUGACCUCAAGUGCCAUGUACUACCGAAUCUUAAGGUAGAGAAAACGACAUUGCUCCAUCACCGAAGAUGGAUGUUUGUGCAAUUUAAUUUGUCAAAGAGCACCCUACACUACUCCUUGUGUGGCGAGGACUUCCCCCAAGCCUCCACAACAAAAUUCCAAAAAUGGGAAGCUUGACCCAAAAGUUCUCGAACUUGAAUGCACGUAGCUACUUCAGACCAUGGUCACUAGCAAGAAACAAGGGAAGAUGAUCCGAUAGGGCGGACGAGGGGGCAGCGAGCACAUGAUUUUCAAAAUGAAGAUCCCAAUAGGUGUUGCGGAAAUAGCUAUCCGGCUUGCAUAGGGUCGGAUCCGGCCGCUCAUUACACCAAGUGAACUUCCUAUUCUGCAGGUGGAUCUCUUUAAUCUCGCAUGGAUCAAGAGUACCGCAUAAGCGAGUGACGUGUCGAAUAUUAGUGUGCCUCCUUUGCAUCGUGCUCUAUAAAUUUGGUUAAAUUCACUUGUGACUAACCACAUGACACCAAGACAAAGUUUGUGGAUGAGGAGCUCUACAAAAGAACCAUCUUUCCGAAGAUAGGUCAUGGGUCCAUAGGCCGUAGUCAGCUUGAUCUCGAUCAUAGCUGAUAGAUGGAACACCUCGCUGGUGAUGCCAGAAGCAUCGAGCAUGUCGUUGUUCUAGAAAAGCAAAAUACCACCCCUAGUACCAAGGGCCGGUGUGACUGGAAAGUUCCUCAGCCUGACGUCACCAAAAUAAAUGAUAGUAGCAGCGUCAGUCGUUCCCAACUUGGGUUCUUGAAUGUGCACGAGUUUAUGAGAGGAUGUCACAAUCAUCUCAAGGAAAAUUGAUAUUCUAUCAUGAUAGUUUAGCCCCAUGACACUACAACUAAUGAUGCUAAGGGUUUGUUCUAACAUUGGUAAGAAAGGGUAAUCAAGCAGAGCACACAAAGGAACACUUGCACUUUAAGAAACAAUGGACUACAAACAAGUUCGGACCAUCUCUAACCACAACAUUAUGCUACAAAGAGGAACAACAAGGUUAAGGAGAAUGCCCUCCCCUAAAGACAUACAACAAAAGGCUUGCUAGCAUCUGGGACUAAAAGAACUCAAGCAACAACUUGUACACAAAGUUAGACCACAAUUGUGGUUUUGAACGAUUCCUGUAUUUACUAGUCGAAGCUCUCCUCGUCCCCAUGCAGGAUCAGAACAUCCUCCAUCGUGGUAGCCAGGUCGCAGUCCUGCCUAAAGAGCGCAUGGAGCGCGCUGACAGUGACCGACGAAAGCUUCCCUUCAAGCAGUUUAUCUAACUUGGAGAUAGAAGCUGAGUAACAUCCUCGCCCUCGACGAUAAUCUCCAUAUGCCAGUACGGGAUCUUCUUGGCAAUCACGCCACUAGGGUGGACCUGAUCUUGGACUGGAGGCAAGCAUUGUUUCAAAUAAGUGACACCACGUCGUGCUGCAAAGUCGAUGCCUCGGCCUAUAGCAAUGAAGAGUGUGAAGUAGCGAGGGUAGUGUCGGAUGACGAACAACGUGGCCGAUGGGGUCUCAACAUUGUGGGGUAUAGGGGCUGGGUUCCCAUGCUCGUGCAUGAGAUCCGACAAUGACUCAACCAUCAGUGGCGAUGCAGAGGCCACUAGUGGCGGCGGUGUUCCCAGGACCGGAUUAGGUGCAGUAGGGUCAUGCAUAUGUGUGAGUGGUAAGCGCAUAAUAGCUUCCCACAUGGUGGCGUACCAUGCGCCACAUAAGAGCUCGUGGCAUCAAAGAAGUAGGCCCACCGUUGGUGAAGCAUUGAGAGUGUCGUGCAGUAGCUGAGUGAAACCAGCCCCCACCAUGGCCUAGGAUGCACCCUUUGACCAUAGGGCGUGGGAGGCAGGGCCAAGACAGUCUUGCCCGCUAAGUUGUGCAGGCACGCGAGGGAGGGUUGUGGACGGUUGUCCUAGAAGCCGACGCAUGGCCAUCACGGGAUGAGUGAUGUGCUAGACAAGCACCGCGCCAUGAUGCUACACUGCAGCUCCCCGCUGCCAGUGAGGUCCGCCAGUCGCAGCACCACAUGGUGCACUGCAGCUCCGCCACACUGCCAAUGAAGACCGUCCCAACACAAUGAACGUUGCACUGGAGCAACCACACCCCCUCGCCUGCGAGGUCCACCGGUCAUAGCACCAUUUGUUGCAUUCCAGCUCCGCCAUGCCACCGAUGAGACGGCUACAACACCUCUCCGCCGGUCGCAGCACCGCGUGUUGCAUUGCAGCUCCGCCGUCCCCGACAAGAUCUGCAAGGGCGCGACACCGUGCGCGCUGCACCCUGCACGGAAGCAUCCCUAUAGGCCNNNNNNNNNNNNNNNNNNNNNNNNNNNNNNNNNNNNNNNNNNNNNNNNNNNNNNNNNNNNNNNNNNNNNNNNNNNNNNNNNNNNNNNNNNNNNNNNNNNNNNNNNNNNNNNNNNNNNNNNNNNNNNNNNNNNNNNNNNNNNNNNNNNNNNNNNNNNNNNNNNNNNNNNNNNNNNNNNNNNNNNNNNNNNNNNNNNNNNNNNNNNNNNNNNNNNNNNNNNNNNNNNNNNNNNNNNNNNNNNNNNNNNNNNNNNNNNNNNNNNNNNNNNNUGCAACAUCGACCACAACAGCGGCCUACAGCGCCAAUGAUUCUCGGCAUCACAGACCACAACGACGGAAGACACAUAUGCUGCAAGACGACGCAGGUGCAGCGGGUCGACGGCUGCUGGGCUGCCGCACCCCGCUUGCGGCUGCUCUGGCGAGAUCCAUGGCGAAAGGUCGGAGAGGGAUGCGGAGAAGAAGUGAAAAAAUGGGGAUCUCGCUCGUGUGUGGAAGAAUGAGUGGAUCUGAACACCAUCCUGACUUUCACUUCUCGGGAGCUGUUUCCAUUGUGGAGGGCGCCCCGCUGGAAGAAACUCGCGGUCUAGCUUUUCUUAACCAGGGGCUCAAGGCACACAUCAAUAUUUGGAAGGAGAGACUGACCAUGGAUGAAAGCAUCGGUGUGGCAUAGUAGAAUGGGCUCCUGUAGUUCUGCAUGGAUGGUGAGUCACAUAGAGUAGAGAUGGAAAAGGUGUCAGGUGGUGAGGACUGAGAAGGAGACUUGUUUUGCCAAGCUUUUACGUAGAGAACCAUGGUGGGACGCGAAAGAGGACACACGACAGAGAGCGGCGGUGGUUGUGGUCACGAUGUGGCUGAGCUUGCGAGACAGAUGCGGUGGACGAGGGUGGUGGCUAAGAGAGAGAGAGAUUUAUCCCGACGUGAGGAGGUGAUGAUUUUCAACCCAGGAAUCUGGAGUGGAUCCGGGACGAGCCCAGCGGGGUGAUGGAUGGAUAAAUUUCUUAAGUUUUCAUUUGUUGCCGGAUAUACUAUACUAUGAUCCUUAAUGUGUUCUGUGGCAUUGGUAUUGCUAGCAUAUUAUGGAAACGAAACAUGUUGUAAAUGGAAAGGUUACAGAAGGCGUACUCUCUCCGUUUUUAUUUAGUCUGCGUAUUAGGUUUAAUCAAAGUCAAAUUUUGUAAACUUUGAUAAAAUUUAUAAACAAAAUUAUUAACAUAUACAAUAACAAAUCAAUAUCAUCAAAUUUAUUAUUGAAUGUAAUUUCACAUCAUAUAGAUUUGUUAUAUAAAUGUUUGUAGUUUUUUUAAUAAAAUUGAUCAAAUUUUACCAAGUUUGACUUCAGUCAAUUCUAAUAUGCAGAGUAAAUAAUAACAGAAAGAGCAUAAAUGAGAAAAUAAAUGCACCACAGUCCCAUAUGGAGCACCAUCGGAAUGAUCCCCUAUGCCGACGGCCUUAGGCCCGAACCUCGAGGGGGCGUGAUAGCCCACAGCACGCCACUAACUAGAUCGGACGAAGCCUGAAUGAACCCAUAAUAACACAAACAAAGGAGACCAGAGCUGCUGCGGAACGGACUCACGGUGGGAGCUGAGCUGCACCGGAGGCAGAUCAAAGGCGGAGUAUUUUGUGCUGCCUGUGGGAGAGAGAGGAAUCUAUUUUUCACCGCUUUUGGGGCAGUCCACACUCGAAACAGUUCUGGAAAGUGCUCCGACAGGAGAAGGCUGCGCCGGUAGCCACACCGCCGGAGUUUAAUGGUUCCCACAGCGCCGUUUCACAGUGGCUGCAGGAGUGGUUCGCCGGUGCUAGUGACGCUGAACGUGAGACAAUGGUGCAGGCUGUGGCUUGCUCGGAAUUAGGCACGCGAUGGGAAGAGAAUUGCGGACGCGAAAGCUGUGGCGGAGCGGGUUCAUGAUCAUAUGAGGGAGUGGACGACUGAGGUUCACCAAAGAACAGCCAGGACCAUGGAGCCAAAACAGGUGGACAGAUGGAAGCCACCCUAAAACUGCAGGUUUACGGCGGAGGACGGAGUGGUCUUGCGAGACCAUGGUGGAUGCUCGUUCCUCCCAAGCACUUCCGACCCGGAGAUGCUUGAGGUUUUGGCAAGCAGGCAAGCAGGCAAACUGGCGAUGCAGCAGAACGUAGAGAGGAUCCAUCUUGAGCUGGACAGCAAGGGAGUGGCGGCGAUGAUCAAUGGUAAGGGCAAGAAACCUGUCGGCUGUAGGUCCGUUGGUGGCGGAGAUCAACCAGCUACUACAGACUCAGCAAGAGUUUAAGGUGAGCUGAGUGCGUAGAUCGGCUAAUGAAGGAGCGCAUAGGUUAGCAAAGGAAGGGGUUAGCAUUCGUAUGAAUAAAAAUGGCUUGAGGUGCUGCAGGCUGUUGCAGAUGAGAUUCCUGACUUUGUUUGAUUUCCUUUGAUUGAAUAAAUUCUUUACCCCUAAAAAAACGAGACCAGAGCGGACCUGAACCCAUAAUAAUAGAAGAAAAAAAAGACCAGGCCGGCCCUAACCGGAUCCCAUGGACCCGUGAAUCAAACCCGACCGAGACGACACAACACAAACAAAUGAAGAAUAGACGCGACGCUGUCGUCGACGACCCAUGGGCGCUGCCUGCGUAUAUAGAGAAUGUCGAGUACAGUAUGCUUAGUGGGCGGGGAGGAGUGCGUACCUGUGGUGCGAGAGGGUGGCAGCAUGAGGAGAGACGGUCGAGAAGAUGGGACCAAGGGCGCUCGGCGGCGGCAUCACCUUCUCCUCCUUCAACGUUGGCUGUUGCUCGCCAACGGUGUUGUGAAGCUCCGCCGCAGAGCUGCUCAUCAUUGUCAUCAUCUUAGCAACAAAUAGUAUGACGCAACAAGUAAGACACGACCAACUAGAAAAAGGUUUGUCUUUGGUCAAUCGAACGAUUACAGCACACUGGUUGGGUUGAAAGGACUAUCAACUGAACAUAGUCUAUGUAUGUAUGUAGACGCCCAGCCAGUACAUAAAUAAGAUGGUUACGAGGAUCAUAUUUGUGUGUAUGUAUCUAUCUCUCUUGAGUAGAGUAUAUAUAGUAAUUAAGCAGUGGUGUCACCGGUUCAUCCGUCCAGCACCGCGUACACACAAACAAUGGUAACUAUUAAUGGCAUUGGUGUGAAUGGGUCACUAAUGCUUUUUUUCGUUGCGAGAUACCCCUAUGAUGGGUUGAUGAUUUAAUGUGAUGGAUUCAGUGCUACUAGCAUGAAAACUAAACAUGCUCAAUGUGCUGGAUGAGUCCAAAAAAUGUAAUUGAGUGACACACACACACACACUCUCUCCACCUCUUACAUGCGGGCCCCAUUUAAUGUGCUCGAUGAGUCAAAAAAAAUUAUCUGAGUGAAGUUGUAAAGGAAGAUACAACUGCAUGCGACACAAACCAGUAGGGAACUGCGACAAACAUGCCAGUAAUGAUGAUGAGUAUGGACAAUAUAGCGAGGCGGAGGGAUUUGUGUACCUGCGGAGAGAGAGGGUGAGAGCGGGAGGAGGGAGUGACAGGUAGGUGAUGAGGUUGGGCUCGCAGGCGCCCGAUGACACCAUCGGCUUCACAUGCGCCUUGGCGGGCGUCAACUCCGGUUUAGGCGCGGGAGUGCGUGCAGGCGCCUCCCGGCGGCUACGCGGGCGCUUCCUUUGGCCCCACUGAAGCGGCACAUGGGCAUUCGGUGAGGCGAUGGUGUUGCCGCCACCGCCAGUGACGUUGGAUCCCUGGGAGGUGUGCAUGGCGUUGUUCAAGAGAUGGUGGCUCACAGGGGCAAUUGGUGAGUACGCCGGUUGGGGCGGGUACGGAGCGUGACCCCACAAUUUGUGUUGCUCAAGUGAGGUGCGGACGAUGUCGCUGCUAAGGCCGCCACCGACGUUGGGUCCUUGGUAUGUGUGCAUGCCGAUGUUGUAGAUAUGGUGGCUUACGAGGGCAGCGGAUGAGGAUGCCGGGCGCCCUCGUGUCAUGUGGUUCUCCAGCGUGGUGCGGCCGAAGUACGGCGUGAGGCAUGAGGUGUCAGCGACGACGAGUGGGGUGCGCUCGAGCUUGCUCUGUGUGGGGUCCGGCGUUGGUGACACUGGCCUAAGGAUCAUGCUGCCACCACCGCCAUCAGCGAGAGGGAGGGAAUCCGAGUUGAUUCCCGGGUACCUGCACAGAAAACAAAAUCAAACAAACGUUCGAGAGACGAUGUUAGCGAGCUAUAUUUGGAUUGCAACAAAACCAAGUCGAACUUUUGGAUAUAACAUGAAAUGAACAUAAAAAAACUACUUUCCCUCUUUGUGGGUUACUAGCAACCGAACAAUAUAUUUGUAAGUGUCUAGAGCCUGCAUGCCCAGUAGGAGUAGAUGGCUGUGAACAUCAUAUAUGUAUGUGUACAUGGAUCUAUCUAUCCUGAGUAGGCACCAACAAGGACAACGAAAACUAUUAAUGUCACUGUUUAAUGUGAUGCAUUGAUGAUUAAUGUGAUGGAUGCCAGUGCUUAGCAUGGAAACAAAACAUGGUGCUGGAUGAGUCCAAAAAAGUGCAAUAGAGUGAUGCUGUAAAGAAAGAUAGAACUGCAUGCAACACGAGCCAGAUAGAACUGCGACAAAACAGAUAGUAUAGCCCAAGGGGAGGGGCGUGCGUCGUACCCGUGGAGCCAGAGGGUGCCGGCGCGAGGAGGAGGCGAUGGGGAUGCGCUGAGGUUGGGACCGCGGGCGCCCGGCGGCGCCAUAGCCGCUCGCGCCUUCGCCUUCGCCGCCCUGCGGCUCCUGUAGUUGAGGGAUUUCUGACGGCGCACCUCGGCGCGCGUCAGCUCGGGUUCGGGCACCGGCGUCUCGCGACGGCUGCGCGACCGCUUCCCGUGGCCCCACCACUGGAGCGGCAAGGGACAGUCCGACAAGGCGAUGCCGCCGCCACCGCCGCCGCCGAGGUCGGGUCCCUGGGAGUGGGACGUGUCCAUGGCGACGUUGUAGCGAUAGUGGCUCAGGAGGGCAGCGGAUGAGGACGCCGGACGAUUCUCGAGCGAGGUGCGGGGGAAGUAAGGCGCGAGGCGUGAGGUGUCGACGACGACGUCCGGAGCGCGCUCGUCCUUGCUCGGUUUGGGGGCCGGCGCCGGCGCCGCUGGGUUCCUGCUCGCGCCGCUGACUCCGCCAUCAGCGAGGGAAUCCGGGUUGAUUCUCUGGGACCUGCACACGAAACAACACCAAAUGAACCAUUGAACAUUUGGAUGCAGCAGGAAACGAAGAGCAAACAAAACUUGUUCCCCGAGCAAGGAAACGCGAGGCCAGGAUUUGUAAACCAAAAUCAGUACAAGAAAAAAUAAAACGUGUUUACAAACUGCAAAACUGAAGUGCGGACCCCGAGCAUUCGAAGAUCUGGAAAUCCGCACAAAAGAGCACAAACAGAAACAGUCGGGCGAAAGAAAGAAUCCGGACUCGAUCAGAAGAAAGAAAACAUAAACCCGGACCCGAUCUCUCCGCAGGAAGGAACGAACAACCCAGAACACGGCACCGGAAGGAAGAACCCCAAGAGCUAGCAAAAUCGCGGCGGCAAGAGGGCUACCUCAUCAUGUGAUUGACGUCCAUUUCGGCGGGGCUGGGUUUGGAGGGGCGUCGGGAGCAGCGUCUCAGCCCCCUCCUUGUCUCCUUGGCUGCCGUUUCACUCUCCCCUCCCACUCUCUGCCUUGUCCUCGUGCUCUCUAGCCUCCACAGGUAUGUGAUUAACGGAAUGCUGCUAGCUAGGGCCUCGGCUAAUGCACACCCACAAUUGUCCCCGUGCGCGAAGCUUCCCCUGAGGCGUGAGCGUGACGAUCCCCGCGCUCACGUGACCCAUCAACACCUGACGUCGCACUGGGUGGAUAAGCGCCGUUGGUUUUAGACUAAUUAAUGCAUGCUUAUCUAUCUAUAUACCAGCAAAAAACAAAUGCUUACCUAUCUAUACAUGUGCUUCCAACCAAAGUGGCAACCAUGCAUGUAAUAGCAUCUCUAAUAUUGGUAGCCAUUAAGAUUGAUUUUUAUGCUAAAAGUACCAUCGUUCUUACUACAUCCAAAAUGGAUAUAUAUGCCUUUCACUUCUGUAUAGGUUCGAAUAUAGAUACGCGGUAUCAUGCCUAUAAAUUAGAAAAUUGAUUUUCAUUUUGUAACAUGAAAUGGCAGGUGUUAUGAUCUAAUAUACUAUUGUCACUCUUUUCAUAUAAAAGUAAAAAAUGCCUUCCACUUCACUAAAUGAUACAAGCAUAUAUUUGGGGCAUUUCGUGUGCUCCGAUAAAAAGUUUCUUUUUUUUUUGUACUGAAGUGCAUGAAAGCUUCGCUUUAUAAGCUACCAAAUGAUCACCCUUUCUGUUAUGAAUAUGUCAAACAAUUAUUGUAUGAUACUACAAGUAAGGAUUAAUUUCAGGACGUGGCUAGCAGGCGCGCGAGCGCUCGUUGGUGGGAUCGAGCGCUCUUUCAAAUAUGGAAAGACCUGCUGGUGCGCCCGACGUAGCCCAUAAAAAAGGAAUCUUGUCUCACGUGCAUUUAUUUGGAGGUCCAAAAAGUUUAAAAAGCUAUAACUUUUGAUUUAAGCAUCGAAAUCUAAUUUCGUUUUCACAGCUGGAUUUCUCGCGACGAGUUCUUCAAAACUAGAUCUCAUAUAGAUAGGUUUCGUCGAACUUUUUUUUGAGGCAACUUUGGGUACGAUAGAGGCAACUUUAGUGCUACAGGAAAGCAACUUCAUUUUUUGCCUAGAGGACUGUCUAUUAGGUUGGUUUGUGUAAAAAUGCUAAAAUAAUCACAACUGACCUACCAUGGUUGCUCAGUUGCCUACCAUGGAUAUUCAGUUGCCUAUCAGUGAUGCCCACUUGCCUACAAUACUAUGAAAUUGACCUACCAUUGAUGUCCAGUUACCUGCUAUUGAUAAUUAGUUACCUAUCAUUACUGCUUAGUUGUCUAACUUGGCAAAUUAGUUGCCUACAAUUAUCUGCUUAUCAUUGUGUUUUUCCUAAGUUGCCUAAAACACUAUGAAGUUACCUAUCGGUGAUGCUCAGAUGACUGGCAUUUUUAGAUCGUUAUGAAACCUGAGUAUCACACAAAAAAGUUAGCUACUUUUGGGGUGUUUUUGUGCAACUCCAGUGCAUUCAACAAGCAACUCAUGUGUGUUUUCCAUCAUUAUAUCUGGAGAUUUCAAUAAUUUUCACGGGCAACUCAUGCAAAAAUUAUGAACAACUUGUGUAGGCUUGUGGGCAACUGUCUGAUCCGCCCCCUAUGAAACUUCUCAUCACCCCCUAUGCAAAUUAUCAUCUGUCCCUACUUAUGCAACCAGUCAACACCCAUGACAUUGCUAGCUAACACCCACGUGCUCGGUAGCGUUGGCCGAUAGACUCCCCCAAAAAAGGAAAGAAUAAUGCUAUCACACCAUCCAUCUCCACAUAGUUUCGAAAUUUGAAAUCAUGAUAGACAACUUAUAUCCCACAAAAACUUUUCAACAUUGUAGGCAAGUUAGGUCCCUUGAUGGACAACUUUCAUACUAUUUUAGGCAAUUGGGGUGUGUAGGCAACUUCGUAGCAAUAUAGGCAACCUGGUUUCUGAGGCAGGCAACUUAGAAGCCGUGUUAGACAACUUUCCACUCUGCGGUAAGCAACUUUCGCAGUAUCAUAGGCAACUAAACUAUCGACAACUUAGUUUUUGAUGUAUGCAACUCAACAACCAUGAUAACCAUCCAUUAGACUAUUGCACACAACUAUUAGUAGGCUAGUAGGUGAAUCACUAACACACACAAUGCACUUCAUCUAGCAUUAAAGUUGCUCCAGUUUAGCACUAGAGUUGCCUCAUCUAGCAUCAAAGUUGCUUUAAAAAAGCAUCAAAACAUAUUCAUAUGGGAUCUAGUUUUGAAGAGUUCAUCACGAGGAACCCAAUGAUGAAAACGGGUCAUAAUUCCAACAUGCAGUUUGAAAGUUAUAUUUUGGAAUUUUCUUGUACUGAAAUUAAUGCAUGUUAUGUCAUCGUUGGGUUCAUAUGGUUGGUCAGACGAGUUUAUGAAAGAUCAACAUACUAUAGUAGAUGAAUCUUUCCAUAUAUGGGCAACUUAGGAUGAUGUCAAGCUACUCGUUAGUCACGGCACGUAAAUAUUGUGCCCUUGCUUAUUAUUGUUUUCCUAAGUUGCCUACAAACACUCUGAAGUUGCCUAACAGUGAUGCUUAGUUGCCUGACAUUACUUUUUCAGUUGCCUACAAUACAUUGAAAAGUUGUCUAUAAGUGUUACUAAGUUGCAUAUCUAUGAAACUAAGUUGCUUACCAUACCAAAAAGUAUUUUAUGCAACUAAGGAUAAUGUUAAACUAUUCGCUAGUCAUGGCAGGCAGCUUAGGAUAAAUAUUAGCCUAGCUCGAAAACUAAAUUGCCUACAAUACUAUCAACUUAGAGGCAAAACUAAACUAGUUAUGGUAGGAAACUUAGAGGUGAAGCUAGCUAACUUCAAAGGGAUUUUCGAUGAUACACAGUCAUCCUACGCAGACUGGCAGUAAGUUGCUUUCCUAUAGCACUGAAGUUGCUUCCGUUUCACCCAAAGUUGCUCAUAAAAAAAGUUAGUCAAAACAUACUCAUAUGGGAUCUAGUUUUGAAGAGCUCGUCGCGUGGAACCCAGCCGUGAAAACAAAUUUGAGUUUCGAUGAUCGGUUCAAAAAUUAUAGCUUUUUGAAAUUUUGAAAACGCAAAUUAAAUGCAUGCAACGUGAGAUCUUGUUGGGAAAUCACGACAUGGAUGGGCGCACUGAGACACGGUGGACCAACUCCUUUUUCUGUGCGUUAAUUCCUUUCUGUGGGCUGGUAUUGGAACCACGUGCGAGAAAGAGGCGGGAGACAGGAGCAUAGAAUUUCUUGUCGUGUAGCGCGUGCGCCCGCCAUGACGAACGAGCGCAGCUGCGCGUUUAAGAUUUCAGGAAGAAAUAUGGGCUGAACCACGUUAGCGGAAAAGUAAAUGGGCACUGCAUACGAAUUGCGCUGUACUUGACGGGUUAAGCACCAAAUAGCACUAGCUGCUAGACUUACCAGUUCGAUUGGUUCGUUCUUUUUAUUCUUUCACUCACUUUAGUGAAAAACAUGCAUCUAGCUUGUGGAAAAACCGAUUAUAGUUUUUCUAAAAACAAAACCGUACAUUCAAAAUAUAUUCGUGGAUAUUUAAAAUGUUCAAUUGUUUUAAAAAAUUCUCACAAAUUUAAUAUAUGUCCAAAAAAAUGUCAGUGAAUUUGCUAAAUGAUCAUGAACUAAAAAAAUCUUCACGAAUCUAAAAAGUUAUUUGCGAAUCAAACAAUAGUAAUGAAUUUUAAACAUGGUCACGGAUUUAAAAACGUAUUCAUAGUUAGUAAAAAACAAAUGAAGAAAAAAUAAAAAAUUCUAGAUAAAACUCGAGUAAGAAAAUACAUAAUAGAAAAAGAAAAAAAUCAUAUCAAAAAGCUUCUAGAAGCUUUGCAAAAUAGAUUAAAAAUGCCUACUUGGGCCCGCCCACUAAAGAAACUGAACGGGCAGAGGGGUGUGUGUUUUUUUUCCAAUAUCGGAGUAUAUAUCACUACUAGUAUGUAUGCACGUGCAAUGCGUGUCUUAAUAUAACGGAAGGAUUUUGGAAUGUGACUCAAAAAAAGUAUAAUGGCGUGAUUUUGAUAAAUGGAAUAAAAAAGGUCAAAGAUUUGCAAAUAGAUCGAGCAAAAAGAAAUAUAGUAAUAUACUAAUCCAGAUAUUAAUUAGUAGGAAUUACUAUUCAUUCCUCCUGCAAUUGUUUUUAAUAUUCAUAUGAAUAAAAUAUACAUUCACAUCUAAAAAACUGUAGGUUCAUUUAAAAAACUUUAUGUUAUUCUAUUUUCUCUUUCCCCACUUUCUCUUCCCAAACCAUCUUUUCUGGGCUCAAGUUGUCAUUCGCUCAAGUGGUAAUAUAGCCCAUGAGGCACCACAUAUGGGACUUUUUUCUAGAAGGGCCACAUGUCUGUUAUAGAAUACAACAAAGGUAACAUCACUCUACUGUUCAUGGAGAAUCCUGCUGAUCUUGGCCCUUGGAUUUUGGAGGCCAACGGUUAUGAUUGAUGCUCUAGAUCCAUUUUGAAAACUGGUACACUAUAUAGUAGUAUAGAUAAGGCCUUAUUAAGUUUUAUAGGAUGUAACAAGAUGUUUCCCUUUCGCACAGAGGCCACAACUGGCCGGCCAAUUUAGGGUUGUGCAUGGUAGCAAAGCAUGGUUGGUUUCUCUAGUGCGUUUUUUGGCUUCCUUUGGUUCAUUUAUUUUUGACUGGGUUUUUCAUUUGAUUUUGAAAAAACAAGAAUAUUUAUAUAUUUAUUUGAAAAUAUAAUCAUUUUUUGAACUUUUAGAACAUCUGUAAAAAUGAAGGAGAACUUUUGAUUUUUUAAACAUCUUUAAAAACGAAACAAUUUUAAUAUACUAAACACUUUUUGAAAGUUGGAUCUAAUCAUCAACUUGGCCAAAGAAAACUCAUAGAUUGGAAAACAUUACGUAGCUAUAACAAUCACACAUAAUAAAGUUCAAAAAAGCAUCAAUUACUUUCAGUGAAUAAUCUGAUCAUAAACCCACAAUUCAUCGGAUCCCAACAAACACCGCAAAAGAAGAUUACAUCAAGUAGAACUCCGAGGAGAACAUUGUAUUGAAGAUGUGAGAGAGAGAGAGAGAGAGAUCUACUAAUCAUUAUGGACCCGUAGGUCUGUGGUAACUAUUCACACAUCAUGUGAGGUGCAUCAAGGUUGAUGUAGAAGCCCUCCGUGGUCGAUUCCCCCUCUGGCAGAGUACGGGUGAAGGCCUCCAGAUGGGAUCGCGGAAGAACAGAAGCUUGUUAUAGCGGAAUAGUUGCGGGUCUCGCUCUGGUGGUUUUGGGGAUUUAUGGAAGUGGAAUUAGGUCAAAUAGAGCCACGAGGGCCGACAAGCUAAGGUGGCGCCCCCCUGGGGCACGCCGUGUGAGCUUGCGGCCCACUCAUAUAUCUUCUGGCCUCCUCCCGAAGCUUCAAGGGUCCCUUCUGGUUCACAAAAAAUCUUCGUAAAGUUUCAUCACGUUUGGACAUCGUUUGGUACUAAUUUUCUACGAAACAAUAAAAUAGGCAAAAAAACAGGAACUAGUACCGGGCACUAGGUUAAUAGGCUAGUUCCAAAAAUGAUAUAAAAUUGCAUACAAAACAUACAAGAUUGAUAAUAUAAUAGCAUAAAACAAUUAAAAAUUAUAGAUACGUUGAAGACGUAUCACAUGCAUCUCAAAGUAUUAAGUUCAUAACAAACAGAGUAAUGCAUUAAGCAAGAUGACAUAAUGUACACAAAAUAAGAUCAACUAAUAUGACCAAACCCCAUCGUUUUAUUCUAAGUAGCAACAAUACAAUACGUGCCUUGUCACCCCUCCUGUCAGAGAGCAAGGUCACCGCCAAAUUAAACCUACUAAGAAGCACCUCUCCCGCUGAAAAUAAAUCAAUCUACUUGGCCAAAGAAGACAAAUAGACCGGAGAGAAAAACAAGACUAUAAAGUUACACAAUCAAAGAGAUCUCAAAUGACUCAAAUAAUAUCAAUGAAUAAUCUGAUCAUAAACCCACAAUUCACUGAAUUUCAACAAACACGCCGCAAAAAUUACAUCGGAUUGAUCUCAGAGGAGAUCAUUGUAUUGAAGGUCAAAAGAGAGAGAAGAAAUCAUCUAGCUACUACUAUGGACCCGUAGGUCCCGAAGGAACUACUCACACAUCAUCAUGGAGGCAGCAAGGUUGAUGAAGGUUUCCUUCCCAAUGGUUUUCCCCUCCGCAGAAUACCGGAACAGGGCUCCAGAUGGGAUCACGGAAGAACAGAGGCUUGCGGUGGCGGAACAAUUGUUUCGGGUCUUGCUUCGGGGGUUUCUGAAUAUAUGAGAAUUUAUAGGCCAAGAAUUAGGACAAAUGGAGUCACGAGGGGCCCACAAGCCAGGGUGGCACGCCCUACCCCCGGGCGCGCCCCCUGCCUUUGGCCACCUCAUGGUCUUCUUCUUCUUCUUCUUCUUCAUCUUCUUCUUCUUGGGCUCACUCAUGAACCUAUCCUCAGAGGCAUUGUCGGUGUUUGGCUUCGGCCUUGUCAGCCCCUGAAGUACGUCCAGUAGAGGCCUACCGAAUGGCGGCAUGGCGACGGCGCGACUGGACGAGGACGCAACUGGACGGCGUGACUGGACGAGGACGCAAUGACGAGGAGGCUACCGGAUGCGUCGUCGUAGAUAACAUGAAUUUAGAUGAAACCAAUAAUCUUGCUGGCCAACUGCGAGUAGUCUUAUAAGUUCACUUUCCAUUUUAUGCACAUGGGCAAGUUGUUGUUACUAAAAAAAAGUUGUUAUUACUCAAUAUAUUUGUGUUAACAUAAAAGACAUAUGAAAGCAAAAGUUGACAGUGAGCCAUAACGAGAUAGCUCGUUGCGCAAAAAAUAAAAUAAACUAACGAGAUAGCUCUUGCAAACGACCGUUCUGCGCAACGUAAUAAUUAAUGCAAAAGAAACCAAAAAAGGAUAUAUGUCUAAGCCCAGGUUCGAACUGGGGACCUUUAGUGUGUGAGACUAACGUGAUAACCAACUACACCACCCAGACAUGUUGAUUUAAUCCGUGGAACAAAGUUAUUUAUCCAAGACAGAAGCAGUCCCCAUUAUCUGUUUCUUCGUCGAAGCGCCACCACCAGCCUACCAAGGUACUAUUUCAUCUGAUUAUAGUUUAUUUAUCAGUCGCGUAUUUCCUUCAGUGGAAACGACGAAAAGAUGUGCUUAUAAACUCAACACAGUGUAGUUUCCUCCAAAGAACACAAAUUUUGGCAUGACGCGUCUGUCCAAAAAGACACAUCUAUAACAACGCACGUUGCAUUAAGUUAGGAUCCCAAUGUUCUUGUGCCGUGCGUCCACAUCUACAUGCAUGGCUCUUCACGCCGACGCUGCACAUAUAUCAUCGCCUCACUCACUCAUUUGGCACCAGCUCACAAUAAGAUCGAUCUUCGCUUGCCCGCCAGCAUCUGAAGCACACAAGAAGCGGAUGUCGGCAUCUGAAGAAACUCGGGGCAGCAUGAAGAAGAAGGAGAAGAAGAAGACGACGGGCUGCCUCGCGCCAAUCUUCGCCGCCUGCGUCCCCUCCGCCAGGCAGCAGCCCGGCGGCGACGACGAUGCCGCCAGGAGCCGCCUCAGCUUCUCGUUCGCGGAGCAGAGCCAGCCCGAGAGCAUCAUCGACCCGGCCGCCUCGGUCGUGGCCAGGAAGGACGGCCGGCACCAGCAGCAGCCGCAGCACUGCGCCGUCAUCGUCGGCACCAUCUUCGGGAGCCGCAGCGGCCGCGUGACCUUCUGCGUGCAGCGCGACCCGGCCGUGCCGCCCCCGUUCCUCUUCGAGCUCUCCGUGCCCAUGCAGUCCCUCGCCGCCGAGAUGGCGUCCGGCCUUCUCCGCAUCGCGCUCGAGUGCCACCGCUCCAGCGGCAGGUCGUCCGCGCCCGGUGCGGCCGGCGAAAAUGCUGCUGCUGCCGGCGGCAGCUCCCGCCCGAGAAACGUCUGGACGGCGUCCUGCAACGGCCGGGACGCCGGACAUGCCGUGCGGCGGCCGCCGACGGAGUGGGAGCGGGGCGUGCUGGAGAGCAUGCGGACGAUGACGGCCGGCGUCGGGGCGCUGCCGGCAGCCGAGCCGCAAGAAGGGAUCAGCGAGGAGGUGAUGUAUAUGAGGGCGACCUACGAGAGGGUGGUGGGCUCCAAGGACGCGGUGUCGUACCAUCUCAUCAGCCCACGCACCGCCGGCGAUAGCCCGCCGCAGGAGCUCAGCCUCUUCCUGCUGAGAACCAGAGGGGAUUGAGAUUCACUGUCUGUGUGUACGCAGUGACAUUCACUGACAUGCGUGUAACGUGCAUGUGCUACUCCCUCCGUGUUAACAUGUAAAUAUUUCUGUUGUAAUAGUCUGGCACGUCCAGCCCUAGAAUUUAGGAUCUCAACUAAUGCCCUGGCCUGCGUGCCUACUUCCUUGGGCUUUCUAUAUGUAAUGACUGUUGUACUGUAACCAGAAAUCAAGGGCAAUCAUUCUAUUGUCUAAUUUGGUAUCAGUGUCUCCAGGUCUCUCCAUGGCCGAACACUCCUCUUCCUCCUCCGCGGCCACCAUGCCCGCCUCCUCGCCGGCCUCCCUCUCCUCGACGGCCUCCUCCGGCUCGUCCUCGGCCACCGCCGCCGGCACAUCCACGCCGCCGUUCGUCUUCGGCACUGCCUCUGCCCACCUCAUCGGCACCUCUCCCAACCCUAAUUCCCAGUUUGCUCCUCUCUUUUCCUCCACCAACCCACAGCCGCCGCCGCCGGCACCACCCGCUCGCCACCCCAUCCUCAACGUGGAUCUCACUAGCCACAUCAAGUUCCUCCUGAACCCUGCUGAAAACAAUUACCACAAGUGGAAAUCUUUCUUCCUGAUGGUCCUUCUUCGUUACGGCGUCACCUACCUCAUCCAGCAUCCACCACCUCCCAACGCCGACAGCCACUACCUCGAGCUUGACACCCAUGUCGUCCUCGCCAUGUACGCCACCCUUACAGAUCAGAUCAUCGAUCAUGUGAUCGGCGCCACCACCACCUAUGCUCUCUGGACUCGGAUCCAAGACUACUUCCUUGCCAAUCGUGCGGCCCGCUACAUGAUUCUGAACCGGCAGUACCGCAAUCUCAAGCAGGGUGACCUUUCCGUCGACGAGUACGCGCGCCGCAUGAAGCUUCUCACCGCCGGUCUCGCGGACAUUGAUCAUGCCGUCACCGAGGUCGACCUCACCACGCAGUUUCUACACGGCCUCGACGGGCGCUUCGACACCAUCCGUGUGGUUCUGGGGGACACCGUCCCUUGCCACCCUUCGAGACCGUCUUCUCGCGCGUCAAACUCGCCGAGGAGAACCAGGCUCAGCGCGCCUCCGACACCAGCGCCACUGUGCUCGCUGUCCACGGGAGCGGCGGCACCCCCGAAACUGGCGGCUCCUCCGGGCCUUCCUGCUUCCCCAACAACGGCGGAUCCGGCCCCCGCUCCGGUGAGCGCGCGGAUCGGUCUUCGGAUCGGGGCUCCAACCUGCAGCACGGUCGUGGCAAUGGCCCUUCUCGUCAAGGCGAUGGUGGCGAGCGUGGCCGCGGGCGCGGCCAUGGGCGCGGCGACUCGGGCGGUCGUGGCCACGCCCUGCCGGCCUACAACCCCUACAUGGGCUUCUUCGCCCCCUAUGGGAUGGCGAUCCCUCCUCCACGCCCCGUCUGGGUUCCUUCCAAUUCUGCUGGCGUGCUUGGGCCACGUCCGGGAUCCCACGCCCACGCCUAUCCGGUGCAGUAUUCGCCGUACCACGCGCCCUCGCCACACCAGCCGCCGUCUUGGGAUCACCUCGCCAUGCUUCACGCCGCCUACAGCUCCCACGGCUUCUCCAACCCCGGGCCCUCCUCCAACGAAUGGUACCUCGACAGCGGCGCCUCCAACCACGUGACCGGCAACUCUGGUAACCUCACCUUCUCGAAUUCUCCUUCUAAGCAUAAUUUAUCAAGCAUUAUUGUAGGCAAUGGAUCUCAUCUCCCCAUACAUGCCACUGGCUCCACACGCCUUUCCCCUCAUAACUUUCAUUUACGUGAUGUUCUUUUCUCACCUCAUGUCACUACCAGCCUUAUUUCCGUUCGUUAAUUUACCAAGGAUAAUUCUUGCUCUAUAGAGUUUUACCCGUUUGGUUUUCUUGUGAAGGACCUUUGCACACGGAAAGUCAUCCUGAUCUACGCUAGCUUCGGCGACCUCUACCCCUUUCACGGCAGCAACAAGGCUUGGCGCACUGCCUUUUCCACUACUGUCUCCGAUGGUGAUGUGUGGCACCGUCGGCUCGGCCAUCCUAGUCCUCAUACCCUUCGCUCUUUAGACAAUGCUUUUCUUACCUCAUGUAAUAAAUCUCCUCAUGUUCCUUGUAGUGCAUGCCAACUUGGGCGCCAACCACGUUUACCUUUUCCCUCUUCCACUAGUCGCACGUUUGCUCCUUUUGAUUUAAUCCAUUGUGAUUUAUGAACCUCUCCGGUUGUGAGUUUUUCUGGUUACCAAUAUUAUCUCGUUGUGCUUGAUGAUUACUCUCAUUUUUCAUGGACGUUUCCUCUACGCCACAAAUCCGACACAUCCACUACCCUACAACGUUUCUUUGCUUAUGUCAAAACGCAAUACAAUGUGAUCAUCAAAGCGUUACAAUGCGACAACGGUGGCGAGUUCAUUAACUCCGAUUUACGCUCUUUCUUCUCUACCAACGGCAUAGUCUACCGUUUCUCAUGCCCUCACACGUCUCCCCAAAAUGGCAAGGCCGAGCGUUUACUUCGCACCACCAAUGAUAUAGUUCGCACACUCCUAAUCCAAGCCAAACUCACCCCUCCCUUUUGGGUCGAAGCCCUCCACACCGCCACCUACCUUCUCAAUCGACGUCCCUCGCGUGCCAUUAACAACCAAACACCAUAUUACCGCCUUCAUGGUCUUCACCCCACAUAUGAUCACCUUCGCGUUUUCGGCUGCCUUUGUUUCCCCAACCUCUCCGCUACCACGCCACACAAGCUUGCUCCACGGUCCACACGCUGCAUUUUCCUCGGCUAUCCUCUCGAACAUAUGGGUUACAGGUGCUACGACCCCCUUUCCCGGCGCGUUAUCGUGUCUCGCCACAUUGUUUUUGACGAGCACACGUUUCCAUAUGAGCCUCCCACACCCUCGCCCUCCGCUAACCCUUCCGCAGAAGAUCCGGUCCCCGCGAUCCAGCUGCAGCGCUCCGUCCCGGAUCCCACCGACCCAACAACCUCGGACGGGCCCCACCAAAUCCCCCCCGCCGCGCGGCCCCGCCAACCAACCAAUGCAACCAAUCCCCGCGCCGGCCCCUCCACCCCCACCGCGCCACAGUCCACGAGUGGCCCCACCUCCCACGCACCCACCAGCUCGCCCUCGUCGCACGCGCCAACCAGUCAGCCGCGAUCUUCUCGGGAUCCCGCCUCUGACGCACCUGCCUCCCCACCCAGCGGCAGCCCAGCCUUGGAUCCCACGCCCGUGCACACUCCCACCGAAUCCUCCUCGGAUCAUGCGCCUGUCUCCCACCUACCGCCCGAUAGCCCCACCAAAUUUGCCUCUGAUUCUGAUCCAGCCUAUACCACGCCACCACGUCACCCCAAGCAUGCAAUACCAAUUGCACCACCGCAAAACUCACACAAAAUGCGCACUAGAGCCAAAUCUGGGUUUUGUUUGCCCAAGCGACUUUUUUUAGCCACCACCUCUUCUUCCGCCAUAUCUCCCAUACCACCUACCUAUCGUUCUGCCCUAAAAGAUCCAAAUUGGUUGCAAGCAAUGCGUGAUGAAUUUAAUGCUUUGAUUAUGAAUUCGACUUGGUCUUUGGUUCCAAAGCCUGCAGGUGUCAACGUGGUGACUGGCAAAUGGAUCUUUCGUCACAAGUUCAAUCCCGACGGAUCCUUGGCACGCUACAAAGCGAGGUGGGUUGUCCGGGGGUUCACACAACAGGAAGGUGUGGAUUAUGGUGAAACUUUCAGCCCUGUGGUCAAGCCUGCAACCAUCCGUAUUGUGUUGAGCAUUGCCAAGUCAAGUGCAUGGCCCAUUCAUCAACUUGACAUCAAAAAUGCCUUCCUUCAUGGCGAUCUCAAGGAAACGGUCUAUUGUGCUCAACCAUCCGGCUUCCUCGACUCGUCGCGACUGGAUCAUGUGUGCCUCCUCCGCAAGUCUCUCUAUGGCUUAAAGCAGGCUCCCCGCACGUGGUUUCAUCGUUUCCAAGCUUUUCUCUUGACACUGGGUUUCCGUGCUUCCAAGAGCGACUCCUCUCUUUUCAUCCUCACCCACGGCUCGUCUCUUGCAUAUCUCUUGGUCUAUGUGGACGAUAUCAUUCUCACCGCCAGUACGCCACAUACUCUCCGCUACAUCAUUAACUCUCUCAAACGGGAGUUUUCCAUGACUGACAUGGGUGAGCUUCACCACUUUCUCGGCAUUAACGUCACCCCAAAUGCAUCCGGUCUCUUCCUCAGCCAACAACAAUACACACUAGAGAUACUUGACCGCGCCAACAUGCUCCAUUGCAAGCCUGUUUCCACCCCCGUCGACACCACCGCCAAGCUAUCCUCUAGCUCCGGUGAUCCACUUCCCAACCCCACCACUUACCGCAGCAUCGCCGGCGCUUUACAGUAUCUCACCCUUACUCGACCGGAUAUUUCCUAUGCCGUGCAACAGAUCUGUCUCUUCAUGCAUGAGCCUCGAGCGUCUCACAUGCAACUCGUCAAGCGAGUCCUUCGCUACUUGCGUGGUACAUCCCACUUCGGUCUUCAGUUAUACAAAGCCUCCUCGCUCGAUCUUGUUGCCUACACGGAUGCUGAUUGGGCCGGCUGUCCCGACACACGGCGAUCCACUUCGGGUUUUUGUGUUUACCUUGGGCAGAACAUGAUCUCCUGGUCUUCCAAACGUCAGCCCACAGUGUCUCGUUCUAGCGCUGAAGCUGAAUAUCGCGGGGUCGCUAACUGCGUUGCUGAAUCCUGUUGGAUCCGCCAACUCCUCUAUGAACUUUGGCGUCCGCCCUCUCGUGCCACCAUUGUCUACUGCGACAAUGUCAGUGCCUCAUAUCUCUCAACCAAUCCAGUACAACAUCAGCACACCAAACAUGUUGAGAUCGACCUUCACUUUGUUCGCGAUCGAGUUGCUCUUGGUGAAGCCUGGGUUCUUCACGUCCCAUCGAGCUCGCAGUUUGCGGAUAUCUUCACCAAGGGUCUGCCCUCGCCGAUCUACACGGAGUUUAGGUCCAGCUUGAACGUCCUACCCAACGGCGUACCAGCUGAGGGGGGGUGUUAACAUGUAAAUAUUUCUGUUGUAAUAGUCUGGCACGUCCAGCCCUAGAAUUUAGGAUCUCAACUAAUGCCCUGGCCUGCGUGCCUACUUCCUUGGGCUUUCUAUAUGUAAUGACUGUUGUACUGUAACCAGAGAUCAAGGGCAAUCAUUCUAUUGUCUAACUCUCCGUUCCAUAUUACUUUCGGGUGCCACACAUGUUGUACUAAAUCAGCGACAAGUGAUAUGGAACGGAGGGAGUACAAGGGAGUAGUAUAUAUACUGAUAAAGGAUUGUUCGACCUUCGUGAAGAUUCAUGUAAAAAUUUCUUUUAAUUUUUUUCUUCAUUUUUAUAUAUUCUAUCACUUGAGUGAGAUCUAGCCACACUCAUAUUGAACCGUGCUUGCAGUUGGAGCCUUGGGAGAGUUGAGACUUGAGAGUAAACUGUGUUGUGGCAAUGUACUCAUGUGUAUAGUUCUAGCAUAGUUUCAAUAAAAUAUUUGUAAGAAAGGGGAAUAUAUGCGCCUUGCUGGAUGGUUAUCUGGUAUGUUAUGCAUGUAGUGUCUUUUUCUAAGAAUAAAAAACAAAUAGUUUCAGUAAAAUAUUUGUAAGAAAGGGGAAUAUAUGCGCCUUUCUAUAUGGUUGUCUGGUAUGUUAUGCACGUAGUGUCUUUCUUUUUAGAACUACUCCCCCGGAUGAGGAUGUGUGGCUUUCGGGUGCCACACAUCCCUAUAAUAUAGCAAUAAAAACAUUUUUGAAAUUUUUGAAAGUUUCUGAAAUUUUUAGAUAUGAAAUCUGGGUGCCCGUUGUACAUCUGUAUCCAAUUUCGUGCGGAAUGAAUGCUCGUAGUACUGUCAAUAUAAAAGACAAAAACAUUGUAUGCAUAUAGAAAAAAACUGGAUAUAACGUAUUUAGGACCGUAAUUCCUGCAUCACAGAUACCACAUGCACCCAUUCCCCAUGAAAAUGAACACGAGUGUACAGUGGGCACCUAGGUUUCAUAUCCUAAAAUUUCAGAAUUUUUUGAAAUUUCCAGAUAUUUUUAUAAUGCUAUUUCCAUAUAGGGGUGCGUGGCACCCGGGUGCUCCAGUGCAUUUCCCUCCCUCCGUCCCAUAAUAUAAGAAUGUUUUCCAGAUGAGGUGCCCAGGCUCAACUGAACCCGUGAUGAUCAGAAAAUUCAAAGCAAAUACUAGAUUUUUUUAAAAAAAAUCCCUAAUUUUUAUGGAAGAUAAUUUGAUGCGUGAGAUGCGCUCCAAAUUUCAUAUCAUUUGGACAUCUGAGUAGCUCUUGGCAAAAAAGACAAAUCUUGGGUCUGUGAAAAAGUUUACUGUUCAUGUAUUGUUCUGACCCAAUUUGUCUUUUUUGCUGAGAGCUACUCAUAUGUCCAAAUGAUCUGAAAUUUGGAGCACACCUCACGCAUCAAAUUAUUUUCCAUGCAAAAAUAAUUUUUUUUAGUAGUUCUUGUGAAUUUGCUCUUCACCGGGUGCAGAUGAGUAUGGACUCAGAAAUGGAUAUUCAACGUUUUUCACACUAUACUAGUGUAAAAACACUCUUAUGUUAUUGGACGGAGGGAAUAAUAUAUGUAAUGUAAUGAUAAACCUUUGCAUUUAGAAGUCAAGUAGUAUUUUGAGGUAAAUCUUUUUGGAAGGACCAUUAAUUACGUUGAACCAAGUUUCAUGUAAGUUGAGUGCAACUCUACAUUGAAUCAAGGAGGAGGUGAUGUAUAUGAGGGCGAGCUAUGAGAGGGUAGUGGGCUCCAAAGCCACGGUAUAUCGUACCACCUCCUCGGCCCAUGCACCGCCAGAGGCUGGAGGUAGCCCGCUGCAGGAGCUAAGCCUAUUGAAUUCAUGCUCCAGCCAGUUACUUCAAAAGUUCGAACUAUGGGAGAGGGUUGGACAUUAAACUCCAACACUCCUCCUCACUUCUAUGCCACUUUGGAGUUAUAACGUGGGCAGCGGAAGCGGGGGUAGGCCGCAAUUAUUUAGUGCAUUUACUGGAUUUUGAACCUGGAACCUCUUGGUUGCAAGUCUAGGCUAUUUUAUUCCUUAGAUGUGUGAUCGAUGUAGGCCGCAGAAUCUUUUUAUUUUAAUAUUGUGUUGGUAGAGUCUUGAACUCAAGACGUUUUGGCUCGGAUACCAUAAUGAAUUCAUGCACCAGCCAUUUGCUCCAAAAUUUCAAACUGAUGCGAGAGGGCUGAACCUUGCACUCCAACACAUCCAACUUUCAUGUAAAUUGUGUGAAACUCUGGGAGCGCCAUGUUAGCGCCUAUAGCGUCGAACCGAGAAAGUGGCGCUCAUGUGAGCGGGAGUGGGCAGAGGCCCAUUAAGCUUCGCUCCCUCGCCUUGCUCGAUGUUUGUUCGCUCAAUCAACCCGCCUUUCUCGGUCCUGUAUUUUUUUCUCGGUUGUGUUGUGUUGUUGCUUGAGGAAAAGGUCCGGCCACCAGUUUUGUUAUUAUGAAUACUUUCAUGAUAUAAAAAAGUUCAUGGGUUUCAAUAAAAAGUACAUAAAUUUGAAAAAGAGUUCAAAAAAUCAUUUUUUUUUUAAUUUUCUUAAUUUUCUGAAAAAACUCAUAAAUUUGAUGAAAGUUGAAAAUAAUUCAAAAAGUACAAGAAUUUGAGAAAACUUCAAAAACUUUAUGAUUUAAAAUAAAUGUGAUUUUGAGAAAAAAAUCACGAAUUCUAAAAAAAUUUAAUGAAAUUUACAAAGUUCUUGAAUUUGAAAAAGAAACUUCGUAUUUGGAAAAGUUCACCAAUUUUUUAAAAGUUAACAAAACUGGAAAAGUGCAUGAAUUUGAAAAAGAUUCACGAAUUUGCGGAAAAGUCACAAAUUCCGAAAACAAAUCAUGAAUUUUAUAAAAGUUCAUGAAUUCAAAAAAUAUUCAUGUAUUUUAAAAGUUUUUCUAGUUUGAAAAAAGUUUGCAAAUUUUAAAAGUUCACAAAUCUUGAAAAAAUUCACGAAUUUGAGAACAAGUUCAUGAACUCUAAAAAAAGUUCAUGAAUUUCAACGAAUUCAAAAUUCAAAAAUGUUCAUGAAUUUGAAAAUUUGUUAGAAUUUUAUAAUUACAAAAUAUAUAAAAUUUAGAAAAGUUCACAUAACUUGAAAAGGUGUAUUAAUUUGGAAAAGUAUUCCAGAAUUUGAUAAACAAUUCAUGAAUACUUAAAAGACAUGAUUAAAAAAAUAAAAAAUAUUCAUGAAUUUGAAAAACUUUGCAAAUUUGAAAAAGUAAAAAAGGAGGGGGAAAUAAAAUCAAAAUUUAAAAGCAAUACAGAAAACCAUAAAGCAUGGUUUGGAAGCUUCUAGAUGCUUCACAAAACAGUAUGGUCCACAUUUUUUUGAGAUAAAAUAGUAUGGUGCACAUGCUUCCAUAAACGAAAAAGUGAACUUACAUGGGUUGGCCCAUGUGCUAUGUUCGUGCUGCAAUGCGCUAGUUAGCAAAUAAGCCUAUAAGUAGCAUCUUAAGCGCCAAAUAGGACUUGAGCGCAACUCGAGCGCAAGUCAGGUCAAAUACGAAACUCCAUCCACAAUGAUUUAAGGAACUGUGUCACAAAUGAUGCAUUCACGACAGUUUCACAAAUUAAGCCGCAUGGGAUGAUUGGCAGAUGGCUAGGCCUGAAAGAAAUCACCGUGGAUGACUGCCACAUACGUGACCUUUUUUUGUGUGCAAAAAUCGCCGUGUAUGCGUACGCGAAGACUUUUAGGAAGCCUUUACCCAUGACGAUUCAUUGAAUGAAAUCGUGCCCUUGAGUUAUCCUCCAUUGCAUACCCACCCACCCCCCGGCCCCGCCCCGUCCCUCCCCCUUAUCCAUUCCAAACCCUAGCAGCCACACUCAUCCACCUCACCGACCUCCUCCACUGCAAACUCCUCCAACUGUGGCAGCUCUGCUACAAUUGAUCCAGCCUAUCCAUUGGACCUCCAGCCCCUCCUCCACCACAAAAUGGAAAAUUGGCAUUGUUUAGUGGUGUUCUUGUUGUUUAUUAGGUUAGAUGGAGAAUUGGCAUUGGUAUCAUUAUAUAUGCUUUUGCAAGAGUUCUUUUUGAUUGGCAACAAAAAUCACAUGAAUGCAGGUGAAAAUAAAUAAAUUAGUUUGCAUUAAAAAUGUUUCACAAAGUAUUUAAUAAUAUAGAUAAAAAUUAUACAACACAAAGAUGUGGCAUCGGUCGUGUUGCCUAGAAUAUUGUGUUAUGUAUAUCGUUUGGUUAUAUUAGUGUCCAUGCUACCUAGUUAGAUUAUUGGCGUUAGUUGAUCUAAUAAUUAGUUUUUCAACAAAGAUCUAAUGAUCAGUUGUAGGUUCAAUGUGUAAUUAGUUUUUUUUACAUUAUAUUUGUUAUUUUGGUAAAUGUGUUGUCAUUGUUGCAACUACCAUUUGCAAGAGUUUGUGGGAUAGGAGUGGGUUGAUAUAUUCCAUCACUACAUUACAAUGACACUGCAAACCAUGGCCUCGAGAGUUCGGGCAUACUACGAGCACAGGAAAAAAUAUUUCUCGACUCCUAAGAUAAGAUCUCCGUACAAGCAACGAUAUGGAUACCCAUGAUUUUUCAAUGUCCAUAACUCCAUAUACUUAUUUUUAUUGUGAAAAUGAAUUUGACAUGAAUAAUGCAGUUUUAUAGAAUGCUUCUCUGUUGUCUCCGCGGUCCCAUGAGCGGCCCGGAUGAAUCUAGGCUACAAAGAAAAAAAAAUCUACUUUUCUAAAUGCUUCCUUUGGUGCUUCCCAUGAUCCAUAAUCGGUUCAAUAAUUGCCUUGACGUCCUCCUCAAUUUCGUCAACCUACAUAAACAUUUAGCUUGGUGAUGAAGGAGAGUAGUAAUAGUAAUACAGCCGCCAUUGUAAUCUUAGAGUUUUCUUAUGCUUUAUAAGGGUGGUAACUAAGCACCCUACGAAACAACAAAACAGCACUGGGAUGUUGCUUCAAGUCACCGACGCGAUCACUAUCACUUCAUUUCCAGUCGACCAAAAGCAGUUGCUUAAGAUUGCAAGAGAACUCAAAAAAGCAAUCGGACUACCUUGUGGAUGAUGUCUCGUGCAAGAUGAGCCUCCUCCGCGACUUCCUUGGAGGCGUGCUCGACCACCACCGCGGCGCGUCUCAGCCUGCCGUCCUCCGGCAGAUGCCCGGCCACCUCGGACGACACCUUCUCGGCCACCGUGGCCACCUCCUCCACGACCUCCGCCGCGGUCUCGGCGGCGUCCUUCACCAUCUCCACCUCAUCUUAACGGAACCAGUCCAUGACAAAUGUUAAUAUCCAUGGAUUCUAUCUUCCUAGUUACUCCCUCCGUAAACUAAUAUAAGAGUGUUUAGAAUACUAAAGUAGUGAUCUAAACGCUUUUAUAUUAGUUUACAGAGGGAGUACUUGGUUAAUUGGUUGACGUGCUUACUUCCGAUCCGCAGAAUCGACGCCGAUUUGGAGUGCAGGAACGGCGCCGCGACAGCAACAGUGGAGCCAAUUGCCAGUCUUGCCCUGACAAAAGAAGAACAGAGAGUUGCAAGGGCAGUUUACGAAUGUAAGCUGUACUACGACCAUUACAAAAACCGGACCAAGAUCAUAGAAAAUUGGUUGGAUUACCAGGUGGAGAAACCUGCAGCAGGUCGUCCUGUGCCACCUGCGCCGCCGCCGCUGCUCCUGGUUCCUCUGAUGCCACGGCGCAGGCCAGAGGACGAAAACGAUCUCCGCCGAUCCAACGCCAGAAAAUGCGCCGCCGUGGCAGGCGGGUUGUCGCAGCCGAGGCGGGUGGUGCAGUGGAUGUGGAUCAGCCUGUGCCGGCAGAGCGACGCGAACGAGCUGGCAGGAGACAUGUCCAGCGGAUCAACUGUUCUUCGGUUUUCUCCUUCUUUUCAACUGAUCGACACUGAAAAACUGAACUGCUGGAGUGUUGGGGGCAUCGAUCAAGCGAUGGUCAUAUAUAGACCUUGCAAAAAAUGUUGCUUGUUGGCUUGCAAGACUUAUCUAAUCGAGCUGGUGGAUGAUGAAUCCGUGCGGAGUGUGCACGGCAGCGCGUAAACUCGCAUACAUACCUUGCAAGUAUCAGCGUGGCUGAUUAAGCUGUCCAUGAUUGCCCAAAGCGUCAAGUAACGGGGCACAUGCAUGAUGCAUCUAACACAUAACACAAUGUAAUGUUUCUUUUUUCCUUUUCACUCUUUUCUUAUUAUAUUUGUCUAGUCCUAAACUAGAUUUUGUUGCUGCCAUUUACAAAAAUAUCCAUGUAAGACAUUCUUUUAUGCUUACGAGCCUAUGUACAGAAAACUAUGCCAUGUUUCUUGAAUAAAAAUAAAAUAGAAUCUAACACAAUGGAGUAAUUUACUACUCCCUCCAUUCCAGAAUAUAAGGUGUAUUAUUUUCCGUGCAAGUCAACCAUUUGAAUGUUUGACCAACAUUAUAGAAUAAACUAACUACAUCUAAAAUACCAAAUAGAUAAAAUAUGAAACCACUUUUCAUGAUGAAUCAAAUGAUAUAAAUUUUAUAUUAUGGAUAUUGGUAUUUUUCUAAAAAAACUCGGUCAAACAUAACUUCGUUUGACUUUUGAAAAAACAAACACACCUUAUAUAAAGGAAGGGAGGGAGUAUCUUUUGUUUGCACAACAUAUUUUUAACUAGAUGAUACCCCGCGCGUUGCUGCGGGAUUUUUUUAGCACGCAAUGGUAGAAGUUAAAUUCAAUAAAAUUGUGGUACAAAUAUUUAAUAGUAGUAAUAACCAAAAAAUAGAUAGUAGUAAAGAAGUUUUAUUUUGGCAAGGAAGAAAGAAAAUUCAGUACAAAUGGAAAUAAACCAAUGAAGGAAAAUUCAUGACAAAAGAAAUUGAAACAUGUCUUAGUUAGAUUGCUUAACAUUUCUUGGUUAGAGGAGGCAAAGAAUUUCACAUAUUUUUCUUGAGUAUACCAAUUAGAUUCGUAGCUAAGUUUGUAUGAUAUGCAUGUAUCUCUUAGCUAGCUAGGGUCCAUUGGCUACGUAGCUUAGGGUAAUUAGCAAGGAACUAGUCAUGCAUGCGUGCGCAUGCUAGUACCAGCGACGACAUACACAGACGUGUAAUAGUAGUGGCAUGCAAGCAAGCGCGGCGCUCUCGCUGGUGAGGCUGCCGGAGAUCGUCGUGAUGGAGAUCCUGGCGAGCGUUGCGACCUCUUGCGCCGCCGCGCGCAAGUGCUGACGCGCCCUUGCCACCGAGCCGUCCUUCCUUCUCUGCCGCUGGCUAGGGGGUGCCUGCCAAUGCUCCUCCCUUUCCCUUUCGGCUUCCUCGUCCGGGAGCAGCGCCACGGUUCGGAAGGUCCGCCUGGCUCGUGCUUCGUCCACGUGCCGCUGUAGGUGCUCUGCCCCGGCCGUUCCUUGAUCGGCUCCUUCGUCCAGGCCUCGCCAGCCUCUUCGACGACCACGUCAUGCAUGCCACUCGCGUCGGCGUCCUCCUCGAGUGCUUUGGCGGCGGUGAUGAGUCGGAGCCUGGCCUCUACGGCCGCCCCGUCUGCAAAGUGCUCUCCGGCGCCUGCCACAUACUCAAGGAGAAAAGAACAUAGGUGUAUCGGUGUUUUCCUUUCCGCUAGGCCUGGUUCUUCCACUUCUUGGACAGGAGUGUGCGCGUCCCUGUACCGGACGCCGGCAGAACCUCGGCAGGAAGACAACGGGGACUACGGAACACACACACACACACACACAAAAAAAAAAAAAACUCGUGUCAGCGGCACAUCAGAUAAACAUCGCGGUGCUUGGCUGCAAUUGGGAAGAACAAAUCCGACCGCCACGAGCUUGAGGCCGUCUACAUCGGCAAGGAUUAAGCGCCAGUCGUCAGUUAGGUGUGAAGGUCCCUGGGAGCUUCCCAAGAUGAUGGACGCAAACAACUUGACGCACAUGGGGCAGCGGGCGCUCGGCUCGAUCAGGUUGAUCCACAGUUAUAUCAAGGAGAGAUUGGAAGAGGAGAAGACAUGCUUCCAAUGGAAAGGGAAAUGACUCCAAUAAACACACGUAAUGGUCGGUAUUAAAAUGGUUGCAUUGAUAGACGCCUAGUGGCCAACGUGGAUGCAUGGGAAAGAUCGUUCCUAUUCUGCCGAUGGAUAGAAAAAUCGGGUCACAUCUGAAAGAAAGAGAGAGCUCAGAUGGAAUGCAUGAGUGGGUGAAAAAUUGCUGACAUGGCACAAAGCUGAGGUGGACAACCUGCAUGUUGAGAGAAUGCCUUGUAGUGGGGAGCAACUUCUUAAGAAUGGUAGAUGAGUCAUGUGCACAUAUUCUAUGGGAAAAUAAAGUAUUUAUCCAUCAGAAGUUUUUAUCUGUCGGACACUUUAAAGAGUUGAACAUUUUUUAAUUUACGUGAAGAUUUUGUUUGACAUACAUGAAAAGUUUCCAAUGUGAGGUGAAACAUAUAAAAAAUGAUUUCUGUCCUUACACAAAGUUUUUAUGUUGAAAUGAUUUUCAUGAUGUGAGUGGACAUUAACUUCUUUCACAUAAGUACAUUUUAUUAAGCACCCAUGAACACUAUUUGACUAACAUGGACAUUUACAUAGACAAUAGAACGUAUUUCAUUUAUUAAAAUAAUCUUGGGAGUACUGUUCCUAAAUAAAUGCAGUUUAUAAAUUAUAUAUUCAUUGGAAGGGGUAAAUUGGCAGUUGACAAGUUUAAUGGACCAACGACCUAAUAUGAAAAACAAACAUUGAAAAUUAUAAACAAUGUCUCCUUAGGUUUAAUUUAAUUUAGUACAGAGAUACAAAAAUAUAUUUACAAUGCCAUGAAAUAACAAGUCUAAAUUCAAUCCACAAUUCUACAAUAAGAAAAGUGAAAUCAUGUAAGGAACACUAGUUAUUCGGAAGCCGUGAAUUGAUCUCAUUAAAAAUGUAAGUUGAAUUUGUUGUUUUUCUUUCUUGAGUUGUGGCUCAAAUUUGAAUCUAAUUUUAUAUUAAUUGUAGAUUAAAGUGUGUUUUUUCAGGUUUGAUGCAUUGGAUACGUCCUCUCUAUAGGAACUUCCGAAGACCCAAUUCACCAAACCAGAAAGGUUUCUAUUAGUUCGCCAUUGAGCUAUCGGCCGAAAAUCAAAUAAAAGUGUCCUUCGAAGGCUAAAAGUGUAAAGCUAUAUCUCUCUCACUGCAAGAUAUAGCGAGCGCUCGCUUAUAGAGCCCUCGAUCCGGGCCAGCCCAGUAGUAUAGGGGGAGAAGGCGGUGUUGAAAUACCUAUUUGCACAAGGUUCUAUUCAGUCGUGUUGUUGAUUUUAAACAGGUCUAUCAGGGUUUAUUCCUUCCUUGGAUUUUUGAGCCAUGUUGAUUUCCCUAGUUUAAUAUUCUUUUAUAUCUUGGAAAAAUAAUACAAUACACCUGGCCAUGUUAACCAGAAUGAGGGNNNNNNNNNNNNNNNNNNNNNNNNNNNNNNNNNNNNNNNNNNNNNNNNNNNNNNNNNNNNNNNNNNNNNNNNNNNNNNNNNNNNNNNNNNNNNNNNNNNNNNNNNNNNNNNNNNAUCUCGUUUCUUUAUUUUUUAUUUUUUUUUCUCGGUUCUUUUUUCAUCAUGUUUUAAACAAUGUACACUGUAUAUUUUAAAAAAGUGUUUUUUCUUGUGUUUAAAAAUGUUUAUCAUGUAUCAAAAAAAUUGGCGUGUAUUAAAAAGUGAUCAUCGUGUACUUUCAGAAAGUUUUGGUGUAAUGAAAAGUAUUCAUAUCUAUAUUAACAAAAUAUACAUAAAUUUUCCAGAGUGUACUUUGAAAAUAUUCAUCAUACUUUUAAAAAAUGGUUAUCGAGUAUUUAUAAAAAUAUCAUAGUAUAUUUUAUAAAUACGUCAUCGUUUAUGUUCUUGUGAUGCAUGGCUUUUUUUCACUUUUUACCUUUUCAAUAUAUGGGAGAUAAGUUCUUUUACAUACAUGUUUAUUUAUCGGGCACACGCAAACACACAUGUGGUGUGAUUUUUCGUAACCAACACUGUGUGGUAUGCCAUUAAAAAAAGUGUGGUGUGUUACUAACUUUUUUUAGGGUCAGUAUUUCGUUUUUGAUUUUCGGUGUGGUGUGCUAGUUUUUUUUAGAAGAAGUGGUGUGCUAGUUAUUCUAGACGUGGAAGACGUAGGUGACUAAUGGGGUGCUUGCNNNNNNNNNNNNNNNNNNNNNNNNNNNNNNNNNNNNNNNNNNNNNNNNNNNNNNNNNNNNNNNNNNNNNNNNNNNNNNNNNNNNNNNNNNNNNNNNNNNNNNNNNNNNNNNNNNNNNNNNNNNNNNNNNNNNNNNNNNNNNNNNNNNNNNNNNNNNNNNNNNNNNNNNNNNNNNNNNNNNNNNNNNNNNNNNNNNNNNGCUAUGUCUCGCGUUCAGCGAGUCGAGUCUUCUGACUCACUGAAGAGCGCGAGGAUAUGGGCCGGCCCAGUUCGCGGUAGGUACACUGCAUCGUUCUCUUUUCUGUUUUUUCCAUGUUUUUAUUAAAUUUUUUGAUUCCAUUUUUUACUUUUCUUUACACUUUGAAAAAUGUUGAAUGUGUAUAAAAACAUGCUGACCAUGUAAUAAAAAAUGAUAAAAUUUCUUGAUCAUGUAUAUAAAAAUGUUAAUCAACCAUCUAAAAAAAUGUUCAACAAGUAUUUAAAAAAUGUUGAGCGAGUAUUUGAGAAAUGUUGAACAAGUAUUAAGAAAUGUUUAAUAAGUAUUAAAAAUGUUGAGAAGGUGUUUAAAAAAUGCUGAACAAGCGUUCGGACAAUGUUGAACGUGUAUAUAAAAAAUGUUGAUCUCUUAUUAAAAAACUUGAACAAGUAUUUACAUAAUGUUGAUCAAAUAUUUGAACAAUGUUAAAUGUGCAUAGAAAAAAGUUGAUCAUAUAUUAAAAAAUCAAGAAAUAUUGAUCAUGUAUAUAAAAAAAUGUUUAUUGAGCAGUUGAAAAAUGUUAAACAAGUAUUUAAAAAUGUUAAUCAAGCAUUUGGAAAAUGUUAAAUGUGUAUAGAAAAAUGCUGACCAUGUGUUAAAAAUGUUAAUAAUGCAUUUAGAAAAUGUAAUCAAGAAUUUGAAUAAAUGUAGAUGUGUAUUAGAAAAAUGUUGUUGACAUAUACAAAAAAAAAUGUAGAAUAACAAUCAAAAGAAAAAAGGAAACCGGAAAAAGAAACAAAAUGCAAUUUUUUUGGAAAAAAAAUGGCAAACUACAUAAUGUGAUUUUUGCAAUAGGUUCUUGGGAACUUCUCUUAGAGACUACCUUUGACCCCAGCGCAUAGAGAGGCCCAUAAGAGUUCCUAUGUUGAUAACUUUUAGUUUCACUUUCCACCCUAGUUAUAAAUGUAUGUCACAGUAAAAUAGCAUUCUAAUAUCCAAGUAAAUGUACAUAUCAUUACAUGCCAUAUGGUCGACAGGAUGGGAUUGCCGGAAGCAUCAACACUAAGUGGGACGGUAGUGGCGGCUAGGGUUAUGCGCGAGGAGGCAGAGAGUGUGUAUCGGCUAGCGUUGCCAACGCCUCCAGUAUAUAGGUUGUUGGGUAGGGAGUUGUGGGCCAGGGCUUAGGCCCACGACUAAGUAGGCAACAACUCACGGUCCAACCUCUCGGAUAUCUUUGAUUAAUUAACUGUUCCUGACCGGCAAAAAUAAAGUGCAUGCAUGACAUAGGUCUAAGCUCGGCUCGGCUCAUUCAUGAAACACGAAGCGCGUAUGAUGCAUGGCAUGGCAAGACGGGCGACAGAGGAGGAGCGCGUGUAUCAUUCCUCUUUUCAAGCGGCAAUAGCAUGUGAAAGAGAAUACCUUGUAAAGAGGUCUCAACUCUCUUCCACUCGCAGUAGGGUACUAAAUUUCUCACCAUGUCAUGCACCCCACAUGAGCCUUAUAGACCAACCAUGAAUUAUUGUUUAUAUGGGACCAAAGCCUAUCUAUAAUUCAACAAUGCCCCAUCAGAUCUCGGAGGCACAUUAUGUUGUCCUUUGUUCUAAAAAAUUGCUUUGAUAUGCUGAUAGUUUUAGUGGACACUGGUUAAGGCUGAACGUCCACUUAGAGCAAAGGGUUACACUUCGUCACAAUUGAACCUCGCCGCCUCCACCACCGCAGGAGCAAGGCGAACGGGGUGCCGUCUCGGUCGUUAGGUGGCAUGUGUCAAACGUAGGAAACGAUUUGUGGGAGAGAGAGAGAUCAGCCGGUUGAAAGCAAGAGUUUUCCAAGAGAGAGAGACAGAGACCUGAAGUGGACCAUUGGCCCGUUUAUUCUGGUUUAGUCGACGGUGUGCUUGCUCCUGCUUAGGCCCAUGGGCCAAAAUUGACACCGGCCAUGCAUUGUGUACCGGCUGAAACACAUCAUCACGCUUGGGAGGCUAGGGAUUGGCGUGACCGACGUGAAUUCCUAUUGGGACUGUCUAAUUGACAGUCGACUGAAAAUCAAUUCGUUUUCAGUCAGAUUUUUAGGCCAAUAGGAACCUAACGGUUGUCUGUCCCUGUCACCUGUAUGUCCAUGUCAAAAUUUGCUACCAGCCUAACGGGUUUGUCCAUCCACCAAAGCCGGCCCGAUUACACUGGAGGGAUCUCGUAGCACCUGAACUUGCGAGGGAAUUAUAAUAAGCCAAAUAAAACAGAAACAUGCGGGAAGGAGGGAUCUCGUGUCAAUCGAUCUAAUCACCAAGGAAGAAGCAAGCAGGAGGUCAAAAUCACCAAGUUCAGAGACACUCACAUGGAAGAAAAACUGCUAGAUGAACCUCAGGGGACAUAUGUUCGAAAAUUCCUCCUCACGACCUCUUUUGCGUUCAUCAAAAAAAAAAAACUGCCGUGCAUUACCGUUCCAGUAUUCUUCUCAUAUGAACUUGUUCUAAUAUGGGCUGAGUCUGGAAAACACAGUACACACGAACAUCAACAGUGUGUGAAAUCGUCUGAAAGAAAGUAGACAGAACAUAAAACAGAAAUUCAGGAAUUCAGCACUAGAUCAGAGGAAAUUUCAGUAUAAUGUCAAACACCAGUAGUUUGACAGCAGCAACAGUAGUUUUAAAAUACAAAGUUCAGGCAUUGCUUACAAACAACAGUAAUUCAACAAUGAUCAAAUAACAGUAGAACCAUCUAUUUUUAGGCUAUUUCUUGUAAAAAUACAGUAGAAUAACAGUGCAAAUGACAGUGAGCUUUACAGUGUAAUUGCAGUAGAUUUACAUUGUAAUUUAUAGUAGAAUUACACUGUAAAUACUACAUGUUCCAGUGAGAUUUUACAGUAGAUUUACAGUGUAAAUACAGUAGUGUUGCAGUUGAGUUACAGUGUAAUUUACAAGUAAUUCUACUGUAAAUGUCAGUGGAACUACAGUCUAAAUACAAUUGUAUUUUACGAUAGAACUUCAGUGCAAAAUACAGAGUUUUCAGUGUAAUUCUACUAUAAUCAAAGUGUAUUUUACAGUAGAACUUCAAUGUAAAUACAGAUUUUUACAGUAUGAUUGCAGUAGAUUUACAGUACAAUUACACCAUAAAUACUACAGUUGAGUUCCAGUAACAUUUUUACGGUGUAAAUACCGUAGUAUUGCAGUUGAAUUACAUUGAUUUACAGUUUAAUUUCACAAGUAAUUCUACUGUAAAUGUCACUAGAAAUUUCAACUGACAUGCACCUCCAUCUUCCUAACAACAUAAACACCCACUAAUUGAAGAACACAUCACUGUUAAACAUAGACAGGAAACAACUACUCGGAUCACGGCAACGCAGAUGAGCUACUCCUGGAAACAUGUCUUCUUCAGUUAGUAUCGUCCGCCUGCAAAGGAAACAAACAUGAGUAUUAUAAGAGAAUGUUAGAAUAAGAGAACAUAUAUUGCAAAGGAGAUUAAAUUUACACACAUCUUUAAAUCAAAUCUACAACUGAUGUGAAGUCUAAAACCUUGACAGAGAAUAAACCAAAACCCAUAACGCAUUGGUUUCACUGGAACCGGUUCUUGGACCAAAAAACACCUGCACCUACAAUACUGAAAUUACAGUAGCUAAAAUUACAAAUUACACUAGAAUAUUCAGUUUACAGUGCGAUCUUGUGAAAUUCAGUUUCCAUUGUUUCAGUGAAAAAAUUACAGGAGCUAAAAACACCAAUUAAAUUUUGCACUGAAAUUCUACUGUAAUUACCAUGUAAAUUACACUGUAACAACACUAAAAAAUUCAGUGUAAUUACAGUGAAUCACACUGAAAUUAUACUGUAAAAUCCAGUGUAAACUAGCAUGUAAAUUACGCUGUAACAACACUAUAAAAUUCAGCGUAAUUACAGUACAAAUGCACAGUAAAUUCAGUGUAACUACUAUCCAAAAGAACACUGAAAUUCAGUGUAACCACAGAUGCAUUUUCUGUAAUUACACUGCUUAGUAAACUACAAUGAAGAUUGCACUGACUUACUAAACUGUAAUUGCACUAAAAAAACUAGUGCACUGACUAAUGACACUGACCAAGUACAAAAACCUGUGCACGGUCAGAUUUCUUCCACAAAACGUCAAACAUUAACAACCACUGAAAUUUCAGUAUUUUUAUUGCCAACACACUAAAAAUAAGAUAAAGUUCUAAAAUGGUGCUAAAAAUGGAUGAAAUAAUACGCAACAAAGACCAACCCCAACAAAGAAGACAAACCCCAAAGAAAAGGUUCUGCAAUGCUUGCAGGCCAACCAUAGACAAACCCCUAACAAAAGGUUAACAUAGACGAACUAGAAAAAAACCACUAAGAGCUACAGUGUGGAAAAGAAACUUCAGUUACAGUGAAAAUACACUAUAAUUUCAUUGUAAUGUACACUCAGAAUCUGUCUUUAAUUACACUGAAUAUUGAACUGUAAUUACCAUGAAAAUUACACUGUAACAACACUAGGAUUACUCUGCAAUGUGCACCGUAAUUGCACUAAAGAUCCUAGUGUAAUUUUAAAUAAACUGAAAGAGAGAACUGAAAAAGAAAAGAAAAGCUAGACAAAAAUAACUACCGGCGACAUAUGAACGAAUCAUCUUCCGCGGAGUCAUUGGGCACAAAAACAUUAAUCCAAAGAAUCUGAGGUUUCAGACAGAUUACAUAAACAUGAUACACAAAGGUCAACAACACUUACUGGAUGAGCUAGAAAACAAAAGGAAAAGCAAAUUAUGCAUAAAAAGAAAUAAGAGAAACAACUGAAUACUAUGGAACUUAACCUGCUUGAUUAUGGAAAUUGCACUAAUGAAAAAUUAUGGAACUCAUUGGGGUAAUACAAUUUUAAAAGAUACUGCAAAUUUCUGAACUCGCCACCAGGAGAAUGACAGAAAUAAACAUGGUACUAAGCUAAUGGUCAAAAAGGCUUGACCAUCAUUUCUACGAGGAUGGAACUGCACAAAACAGAACUGUACCCGACAUAUAUUGCAAAUGCAAUGAAGAAAAAAGAUACUACAAAUGUAGUGAAAAUACUACCUACCUACCCUGCACAAGAUAGCUAGCAAAUGUUCAUGCAGAAAUGAAGUCAUACUGCAAAUACAGUGAACAACACUAGUUACAUAGCACCAAACUGAAAAUACAGAACCAAUACACUGUAAGCAACUAAAGUACCACGAAUCACAUACAUUGGAACCUUAAAGUAACUCAGUACAAAACUGAAACAGAAAAAUUCAGAGCAAGUAGGAUCUAACACCUACAUCCACAAAAGAGAUCAUGAGACAUCUAAAUCAAUCGGGAGACUGAGAAAACUUCACAUACAUCUACAUCAAAUGGGCCAGCCAAAAAUUAAAUGAUCAUGGGGGAUCUAGCGCACUAUUAGAUGCCCACGGGGAUCAAUCAACAACCACUGUAGUGGGAUGAUAUCAAAAUCGAACAGCAGUAAAAUAUCAAAAGGGUCAAGGGGAUCCACUGCUACAUCUGAAGCAAUCAAUGGGAACCAACGAAUUGACCGCCUGCGUUAGAUCCGGGGGNNNNNNNNNNNNNNNNNNNNNNNNNNNNNNNNNNNNNNNNNNNNNNNNNNNNNNNNNNNNNNNNNNNNNNNNNNNNNNNNNNNNNNNNNNNNNNNNNNNNNNNNNNNNNNNNNNNNNNNNNNNNNNNNNNNNNNNNNNNNNNNNNNNNNNNNNNNNNNNNNNNNNNNNNNNNNNNNNNNNNNNNNNNNNNNNNNNNNNNNNNNNNNNNNNNNNNNNNNNNNNNNNNNNNNNNNNNNNNNNNNNNNNNNNNNNNNNNNNNNNNNNNNNNNNNNNNNNNNNNNNNNNNNNNNNNNNNNNNNNNNNNNNNNNNNNNNNNNNNNNNNNNNNNNNNNNNNNNNNNNNNNNNNNNNNNNNNNNNNNNNNNNNNNNNNNNNNNNNNNNNNNNNNNNNNNNNNNNNNNNNNNNNNNNNNNNNNNNNNNNNNNNNAUCACCGGAGCGGAACUCAAGCUCGAGGAGAGGUGCAGCUUGGAAUCGCAAUGGAAUACGAUCAAAAUCGCCUCUUCCUCUCCGCUGCUGUAGCGCUCACUCUCUCUCUGCCUUGCCCAUUUCAAACAGUGACGCCUAAGGAAAUGAGAAAGCAAAAUGCCAAUUCAUCGUCAGAAGAAUAAAAGGGAAAAGACAGCGUCCGGGCGGUAACGGGCCGACCCAAAAU